rnacentral:lncRNA from 1 species
UAUUAUUUCAUUGUCAAGACUCAAGCUGAAAAUUGUCAUGAAUCAAUCAGUAUCUUUUUAGAUGUGUUGGGUGCUAUCUUACAUUAUUAUUCUUUACAGAGGUGCAAGCAUUUCGAGAUUGGUGGAGACAAGAAGGGCAAGGGAACAUCUCUUUUCUAAACUACCUACUGGAUACUGAAGUUGUGGGUCUAUUGUGCUUCAUACUUCAAUGUUAUUAGGAACUUAAUUUAAGCAGACCAUAUCAUGUAUUCAAGUAUCAUCGUCUGACAUUUACUCUAGCAAGGAUUGGCUUUCUGCUGAAUCAAGUUUUCUUGCUUAAUGCUCGUCGAAUCCAAUGUGAUGCAUGUCUUUAGAUGGCACUGCAAUUGUGACUUUUGUCUUAUGGCAGUUUUAUCUCCCUAAGUCCUCAGUGUCUGUUUUUCGUUAUCUUACCCGAGUUUGCAAUCCUAGAGCGACCCACGUAAACGAAUUCCUGUGACAUGAAUCCCUGAGAGGCUAGUCUGAUGAACUUCCGUUUUUCAGAUCGAAUUUCGUAUAUGGUUAACUAUACUAUGUUUUGUUCAAUAUCUUCGUAACGAGAUGGAAGGUAUGGAAUACUAUGGAUGGAGGUGAAUUGAAAGAUAGGCCUUGGUCUUGUGAUUGUUAUCUUAGAAGGUCGAUACUAAUGUUUGGUCUUGUGGCGUUAGUGAAACUGUUUUCGUAGCAAUGUUUGGUCUUGUGAUGUUAUUGAACUGUUUUCGUAGCAUUGUAUUACUUGUUCCAUUCUUCAUGCAUGAUUUGGAUAGGUUAUUGACAAUUGUUUAUAGUAAUGAAUUAAAUAUUACACUCCUAAAUUAUUAUAAACCGAAUAAAUAGCUUAAAGCGAGCCAGGCAAUGCUGAUGUAGAAAAUUUCUAGUUUGAGAACCGUGGUAUGCAUAUCCCGAAGUUCAUAAGCUGAAAAGAUUGCACCCUAAAUCUAAUGUAUUGUAGUUUUCCUGUACUGAAAAUGCUGUUGGAUCGGACAGCCGUGGUGAUUGGUUGCGUUCAUUUUCAAGUUGUAGCCAAGUUAAAUAAAGUAUAGAAGGAUAUGCAAGUAGCAACAUCGGAGGAGUGCCAUCGCAGUGAUCCUCCCAAAAAGCACGAAAGAAACAUCUUCAUUGGAACCUAAGCAGCUCUGGCCUUUUGAGCCCAGAAAAGCUAUCCUUGAUUCAAGCACAAACCGUCAUUUGGUUAUAUGCUUUCUCCAAAUACUAGCAUGAGUAAAUUGCAUUGGCGGUACACGAACUUGCUAGGUGGAAGCAAUCUAGUACAUAAACUUAUAAAACGCUCAUUUUGAUACACGAACUUGUUAGGUGCAUGUGAAUCAAGGCCAAAAGAAAAAACAAAGCUAAUCUUAUUUUAGUGUUAAUUAGGAUACUACAUAAACACAUGUGUGAGAAAAAUGCUAAGUACAUAUACAUUUGUUCAAUAAAAAGGGGUUAAUAAGGCCUAAAGAUUGUAUGGAGAAAGACACAAAAAUACUGAGAAAUAGUGCAAGGGGUAGAACAAAGAAUAAUAAAGCACAAAUGCAUGUCUCAUGUCCACCUCCAUAUGCACAUCUCGUCCUAAUCAGUGUAUAACUUAGUAAAAUUGAUUAUGAUGUGUCAUUUUGACCUUGUUUCACAUGCAUCGAACAAAUUCAUGUACCGAAACAAGUCUUUUACAAGUUCGUGUAGUAAAGUGCAUCCAUCUGGCAAUUUACUCUACUAGCAUUUGAAGCUAAAAGGCUUUGGCCUUUUGGAGCCCAGAAAAGCUGUUCUUGAUUCCAGAACAGAUCGUCAUUUUUGGGGUAUAUGCCUCCUCCAGAAUCCUAAAAUUCUCAUUUCAUGUAAGGAAAAUCGCAAGUGUCCAACGCUGAAUCCAUCCCAGAGAUCUCAGUGAGCAAAUUGCACAGCGCCAGUUGGGACUAUUCAAGGAUUUUCAGGGCCAUGCCCUGUACCCAUCAUCCAUCACCCAGCAACAAAACAAGCCGGACCGUAGUGUGUCAAGCAUGCACUGCUUCUGCUCUCCGAUCUAACCGGUAGCCCCCAACUCAUUCUGAACCACACCUUGUGUUUUGGACCACAUCACAAAAUUCAGAAGCAGCAGCAGCAGCAGCAAAGGGUCAAGCAAAAAAUCUAACAGCUUUAUUUAGGCAGAUCCACCUCUCUACAUCAUCAUAGUCAUAGUACAAGAACUCGACGAAUUCAGAAGAAACAUUGGCAGCUACACCUAGAGAAAGAAAAAUGAAAAGAAAAGAAGAUCUAAUAUAUUACAAGGGAUCCUUGGAUAUAUGCUCAUAGCAUUGUUACAUCCCGAGCACCGAGUCGCGACUUGUGGCGAAAACGGGUGCCAUUUCCAUGCUUAUGCCAUUACUGCUUCGCCUGAAAAAAUGAGAUGUUUUUUUUUUGGUUAGAGAUUCAGACUUAUGUUCAUGAAUUGGCUCUUUUGUGAAAAAUGUGAUUUGGUAAAACAUGUGCGGAAAAUCUACCUGAGAGUAGAUGAAAGUUCCGAGAAUCGCAAUGGCGGCUCCGAGGGCGUUGAUGGGCUGGACCGGCGUGUGGAAGAUGAUGAUGGAGGCGACAAUGACGGAGAUCCGCUUCAUGGUGUUGCCGAUGCUGAAUGUCAGUGGUGAGAUCUCGUCCAAUGACAUGUAGGACACUUGGUUGUACAAGUGGUAGAACACACUCUGCGCCGCCACCCACCUACAAAACCACAGAGAAAUCCAUGGCCACAUGAAUCAGCUGGAUUAUCACACAAAAAUAUCAUCAAAUCUUUUGAUACUUCUUAUUUCUCUUUCAGAAUGAACUGAAGAAGAUAUUGCCGCUUAGGAGGAAAUGAUAGUGAUAGGACGAUCCUAUAUCUAUAUUAAUUGAUAAUGGUUCUUUUUGUAUAGAAUACUUGAGUGAUGUUACUGAAAGUACAAAGUGUUGCAUGCUGAAACUGUUUGAAAGCUUAGGUCAAGCACUUAUCACUAGAAAUUUUUUGCCCAAUUGAUACCCAAAAAUCUCAACUGACGUGAUGGUUGUGACAGUGAAACGGUGAGAAGUGGUACAAAGAAAAGCAUGUGAGGCUCACCAGACGAAGUUUGGACCGAUCUCGGCGACGGCUUUUUGCCAGCCGGCAGCCCACACCUUGGGCCCCUCCAUGGCGAAGGCGAAAGGGAGGAGGAUGACCAGCGAGAGCAUGGAGAGGCAGGCGUAGUAGUUCAUCCCGCUCACCGACUUGCCCUUCAUCCCCUUCUUGGAGAAUAUGUUCCGGAACACGAAUGCCAGGUUCGAGAUCAUCGCCCCCAUGAAUCCUGCAUCGAAUUUUCAGCAAUACACGAUGAACAGAUUGAUGUGAUGUGUCAGGUUUAUGAACAAAUUGUGCACUUUUUCGUGGCUGGUGUAUAUUUCUUUAUCUGACAUAAGAAAACAUAUCUUUGGUUAAUGGACAGUUCUUGUUCUGAAGAAUUCUUGGAGAUAAUAUCUAUUUUUUUAAUCAAAAAGUGAGGAUAUUUCUGGUGUAUCUGCUGCAAGUAUCUCCAGGAUUUCAGGUGGAGAGACAGAGAGAUGCAGAGUGUUUGCUCACUCACCAAUCAUGUUGAAAUUGAGCUCGGUGAUGGCGGCGAGGGCGCAUCCGCCGAUGAUUGGGAGGAGGGAGAAGUAGACCGGCGCCGGGAAGUGCUCGCCGAGGAAGAACCUGGAGACGAGCACGCUGAACGCCGGCUCGCCGCUCUUGAUGAUGUGGGUGAACGACACCGCCACCUUCGCCAUGCUCACCGUCGCCGCCACGUGCCCGAUGGUGUGCGCGAUCGCCACCUGCUCGUCCCACAACGAGCAAAAACGAAUCCCCAAAUCCAACGAACGCGUCAGAGAUUCAGAAUAGAACAGAAUCAAGAAGGAGGAGACGAUGGUGUCCAUGGUCAAUGCGAUCUCACCGGUGACAGGGCCUUCCAGAAAUCGAGGUCGGUGGCGGGCGCCUCGGCGAUCCUGGUGGCCCAGGAGGCGAGCAUGAUGGCGGAGCCGGCGGCGAGGGAGAGCGUGGACGUGAGCCACGGGUAAGGGAACGCGUUGAGCACCUUCUUGUUGUAGAUGUUGAAGAUCACGUUCAGCGCCCACCACGUCGCGAAGUAGACCCCGAUCUUGGCCCGCCUCGCCGCCUCCUCCGGCGCCGCGCCCGCCGGUGCAGCCUCCACCGGCCGGGCGCCGUCGGCGGUGGCGGACGGCGGCGGCGGCGCCGGUGACGCGACGCGCGACGCCAGGAAUAACGGGUCCUGCUGCCGGUACAGGGGGCGCGCCGAGAGGGAGAGGGGACGUGGCCCGGCGGCGGCGGCGGCGGCGGCGAAGAGGGGAGGGAGGUGGAGGGGCUUGAAUAAUGCCAUCUUGGGCGCCGUGGCGGUCCCGGCCGUGGAGAGCUUGACGGAGGCGGCGGCGGCGAGCAUAUUGGCGGCGGGAAUGGUGGCGCCGGCUUCUUCAGUUACAGUUACUGUGUUGUGUUGUAGCCGGCCGUCCGUACGUCUAUGGCGGCGAUGGGUUGCGGCCAUAGAGACCGCUCGCAUCGAGUCUUCUUCAAUCCGACUAUAACAAAUUGCUAGCUAGUUCCACGCCCUCCAACGCCCUUUUAGGGAAGGAAGCCUCAAAGGAGGGAGGGCCGCCGAACAAUGUGGUUGAGGACAAUCCAAGGAAAAGGGUGGAGACGAAGAGGGAGCUGGACAAAAGAUAAGUGGUAGAGGGGGGAAUCCUACAGCUAGAAGAACAUCAACCGCGUCAACAGGGAAGGCUGCAAGAAUAGUAGCCAUUCAAGCCAAAGAAAACCGUAGGCACUAACAUAAAAGACCUGACCUAAUCCAUCAAUCAAGGAGCAUGCUAAAAGGAGAUCUAGAGAGAGGGAGAGGCACUGGCAAAUCCUAAUUGAUGGAUCAGAGCCAAGCAUGUUAUGGCAAGGAGCUCGUUGGCUAGCUCAAGGGCGCCUCAAAGAGGAGGGAGGAGGAGGGAUGGGGAUGGAAGAAGGUGUUGGGCAAGGUCACCAGUCCCGCGGGGGAGGGGGGGUCCGAGGCCAGAGCCUGCCACCGGUGCCACGGAUUCGACCAGAUCCAGACGCUAGGAGCGCAGAUCUGCACGCCACCAGUCGGGGGCGCCGGGCCUAGCCUUCAUCGCCGGCUGAGGGGGGGGGGACUAUAAGGAGCCAAGCCGAGGCCCAUCACCGCCCUCACGGACGACACGUCGCCAGACAGCACCGCUGGCGACUGCCCUCCGCGGCCAAGGAGCACGACCGCUCCUUCGCCGGGAACAGCACACCGUCGCCGGGACACACGCCGCCGCACCGCCUCCACCACGCCCCAUCGCGCCACCGCGCACGGCAUUGUUGCUCUCCUCCGGCCAGGUCCAAAAGCAGGGUGCAUUUUUCAUGUUAUGAUACAUGGUUCCUGUUUUCAGGCAAAAACCACCAAGAAGAUUGUGCUGAAGCUGCAAUGCCAAAGCUGCAAGCAUUACUCCCAGCACCCCAUCAAGGUAUUUUUGCAAUGUGAAGAUUCAAGCUGAAAAUUCUCAUGAAUCAGUAUCUUUUUAGAUGUGUUGGAUGCUCACUUACAUAAUUAUUCUGUGCAGAGGUGCAAGCAUUUUAAAAUUGGUGGAGACAAGAAGGGCAAGGGAACGUCUCUUUUCUAAACUACCUACUGGAUACUGAAGUUGUGGGUCUACUGUGCUUCAUACUUCAAUGUUAUUAGGAGCUUAAUUUAAGCAGACCAUAUCAUGUAUUCAAGUACUCUAGCAAGGAUUGGCUUUCUGCUGAAUCAAGUUUUGUUGCUUAAUGCUCAUUGAAUCCAAUGUGAUGCAUGUGUUUAUGUUGCACUGCAAUUUUGUCUUAUGGCAGUUUUAUCUCCCUAAGUACUCGGUGUCUGUUUUUCGUUAUCUUACCUAUGUUUGCAAUCCUAGAGCGACCCACUUAAACGAAUUCCUGUGACAUGAAUCCCUGAGAGGUUAGUCUGAUGAACUUCCAUUUUUCAGACUGAAUUUCGUAUAUGGUUAACUAUACUAUGUUUUGUUCAAUAUCUUCGUCACGAGAUAGAAGGUAUGGAAUACCAUGGAUGGAGGUGAAUUGUAAGAUAGGCCUUGGUCUUGUGAUUGUUAUCUUAGAAGGUCGAUACUAAUGUUUGGUCUUGUGGCGUUAGUGAAACUGUUUUCGUAGCAAUGUUUGGUCUUGUGAUGUUAGUGAACUGUUUUCGUAGCAUUGUAGUACUUGUUCCAUUCUUCAUGCAUGAUUUGGAUAGGUUAUUGACAAUUGUUUAUAGUAAUGAAUUAAAUAUUACACUCCUAAAUCUAUUAUAUAAUUAAAGGAAUAGAAAAAAGAGCCUCCACGUUUACUCUCAUGGCUUAGAAAUUCUCACAUUAAUCGGAGAAAAAAAAACAGAGUCCAUAUAGAAAUACAAUUUAGAAAUAGCUGAAAUUCGGAAUUAAAAAAUAAGGAAUAUUAGAAGAGAAGACUAGAGUUCAUAUAGAAAUACACUUUAGAAAUAGUUGAAAUUUGGAAUUAAAAAAUAAGGAAUAUUAGAAGAGGAGUAUAGAGUCCAUAUAGAAAUACAAUUAGGAAAUAAUAGAAAUUCGGAAUUAAAAAUAAAGAAUAUUAGAAGUAGAGUAUAGAGUCCAUAUAGAAAUACAAUUAGGAAAUAAUAGAAAUUCUGAAUUAAAAAUAAGGAAUAUUAGAAGUAGAGUAUAAAGUCCAUAUAGAAAUACAAUUAAGAAAAAAUAGAAAUUCAGAAUUAAAAAAUAAGAAAUAUUAGAAGUAGAGUAUAGAGUCCAUAUAGGAAUUUAAAACUAACUAAAAUUCGGAAAAAAAAAGGAGCCUCUACGUUCGCUCCCAUGGCCUAGAAAUUCUCACAUUAAUCGAAGAAAAAGAAAAAAACAGAGUUCAUAUAGAAAUACAAUUUAGAAAUAGCUGAAAUUCAGAAUUAAAAAUAAGGAAUAUUAGAAGAGGAGACUAGAGUCCAUAUAGAAAUACACUUUAGAAAUAGCUGAAAUUCGGAAUUAAAAAAAGAAAUAUUAGAAUAGGAGUAUAGAGUCCAUAUAGAAAUACAAUUAGGAAAUAGUUGAAAUUCGGAAUUAAAAAUAAGGAAUAUUAGAAGUAGAGUAUAGAGUCCAUAUAGAAAUACAAUUAGGAAAUAAUUGAAAUUCGGAAUUAAAAAUAAGGAAUAUUAGAAGUAGAGUAUAGAGUCCAUAUAGAAAUACAAUUAGGAAAUAACUGAAAUUCGGAAUUAAAAAUAAGGAAUAUUAGAAGUAGAGCAUAGAGUCCAUAUAGAAAUACAAUUAAGAAAAAAAAUAGAAAUUUGGAAUUAAAAAUAAGAAAUAUUAGAAGUAGAGUAUAGAGUCCAUAUAGGAAUUUCAAACUAACUAAAAUUCGGAAAAAAAAAGGAGCCUUCACGUUCGCUCUCAUGAUCUAGAAAUUCUCACAUUAAUCGGAGAAAAAGAAAAAGCAGAAUCUAUAUAGAAAUACAAUUUAGAAAUAGCUGAAAUUCGGAAUUAAAAAAAAGAAAUAUUAAAAGAGGAGACUAGAGUCCAUAUAGAAAUACAAUUUAGAAAUAGUUGAAAUUCGGAAUUAAAAAAUAAGGAAUAUUAGAAGUGGAGACUAGAGUCCAUAUAGAAAUACAAUUAGGAAAUAACUGAAAUUCGAAAUUAAAAAUAAGGAAUAUUAGAAGUAGAGUAUAGAGUACAUAUAGAAAUACAAUUAGGAAAUAACCGAAAUUUGGAAUUAAAAAUAAGAAAUAUUAGAAGUAGAGUAUAGAGUCCUUAUAGAAAUACAAUUAAGAAAAAAAAUAGAAAUUUGGAAUUAAAAAAUAAGGAAUAUUAGAAGUAGAAUAUAGAGUUCAUAUUGGAAUUUAAAACCAACUAAAAUUCGGAAUAAAAAGGAGCUUUCAGGUUCGCUCUCAUGGCAUAGAAAUUCUCACAUUAAUCAGAGAAAAAGAAAAAACAGAGUCCAUAUAGAAAUACAAUUUAGAAAUAGCUGAAAUUCAGAAUUAAAAAAUAAGAAAUAUUAGAAGAGGAGACUAGAGUAGUUAUUACACAUUAGUAGUUUUGAAAAGUUAUUGCAAAAUUUAAAAUUAUGUUGUCAUUGUAAUAUAUUAUAAUAAUAUAAUGAGAAAACAUAUAUGCUAUUAUAUGAGAGAAAAUAUAAUGAUGCUAGCCGCGCAAUAUGCGCAGGCCACCAUGCUAGUUAUUAUAAACCGAAUAAAUAGCUUAGAACGAGCCAGGCAAUGCUGAUGUAGAAAAUUUCUAGUUUGAGAACAGUGGUAUGCAUAUCCCGAAGUUCAUAAGCUGAAAAGAUUGCACCCUAAAUCUAAUGUAUUGUAAUUUUCCUGUACUGAAAAUGCUGAGGGGGGGACUACAAGGAGCCAAGCCGAGGCCCGUCACCGCCCUCACGGACGACACGUCGCCAGACAGCACCGCUAGCGACUGCCCUCCGCGGCCAAGGAGCACGACCGCUCCUUCGCCGGGAACAGCACACCGUCGCCGGGACACACGCCGCCGCACCGCCUCCACCACGCCCCAUCGCGCCACCGCGCACGGCAUUGUUGCUCUCCUCCGGCCAGGUCCAAAAGCAGGGUGCCAGAUCCAGCCACGGGGGCGCCAGAUCCGAAGCUUCGCGCCGCGCUGAUGUCAGCCCCCACCUAUCACGCGCCGCGUCAUCAUCCUCACGCUGAGCCGUCGCGUCGCCGAGGAAUGGCCUCGCCGCCGCCCUCACAGUUGGCCGCGCGGAACUCCGGUGGCGCGCUCCGGCGGCGGCGAGGGGGGAGAGGAAGGGAGGGGGCGGCGGGGGCUAGGGUUCACCCCCUGUGCCGCUCGCGUGAGAGGGCGACGCGGGGGUCGUGCCGGCUUCGUACUCUUCCAAUUGAGGAUAAGAUGAACUGAUGUGAUAAGUAGUACGGGAUUGUACUUAUUUUAAAACAAAAUUUGAAUAUAAAAUCAUACUUAUUUUAGAAGGAUUGUAGUAUUUGGACUUGGGAGUAAUUUUACUGUUCUUGGUAUUAGAAGGUACCAUUUCUUUUAUAUAAAACUUGGUAUUUCUCGAGGUAUAAAAAACAUACGGUUAGGACCGUAACGAACUGUGUUAGCUGUAGGUUUGCAUCUGUUCCCAAGGUGAUUUAAUUUGAGCAAUUGCAAAUAGCUUUUUCUUCUUUCACUCGGCAGCUGAAUCUUGCUUGGUGGAGUACUCGGGCCGUGCACGUUCAUCCACGGGUUUGAUUUGACAUUGGUCAUGAGCGCGUUUUAGUGGACAAAGUGGUGGUUAGCAUAGUGAAAUUGUCAACGCGAGAAGCAGAAACCAAUUGCUGUUGCUGUCGCCGGUACCAAUACUGUAUGGUGUUCCUGUUCCAUCAGAAUUCAGUCGAGUGCAUGGCAGCUCAUUCUUGUGGCCCAUCACACAAUUAAUCUCCGACGAUGUACUGUACGUAGUGGAGCAUUUAGAUUAGUAAUUCUCGAAUACAUUUUCGUAAGGGUUAAGUGGGCAUAUGUAACGUGUUCACUCCUUGUUACUAUCUCUGUUUUCAGAUGAGUGACAUCAUCAGCAUAGUCCGCAAUACACAUUUUAUCAUCAUAACAAUUUUACACUAUAAAAAACGAUUUUUCGUGAUGUUACCCUAUAUUUUACGCUGGCGUCCAUAUGCAAAAACCGCCAAAAAAACAUAACAAUAGGUGGGGGGCUACGGACCACCAGCAGAAACCAAUUUUUGCUGAUAACCACGCUAAGAGAAAUGCCUAAAAAAACUACUCUAUUUUUCGAGACGAACCUCUUAAGUGUCUGCCAGUUUUUCGAGGCGGACCUCUUAAGUGUCCGCCAGCGAAAAAUCUCAUUUUCACCGGCAGUAGGUAAGGAGGACCACUGCGAAAAAUGUUUUGGGCGAAUAUAUAAAUCUACUGUCCCCCACCCCCACCGCUCCCUUCUCCCUUCCCCCACUGCGCGGCCCCUCCGCCGCCUCUCUUCCUUCUCUCUCGGUUUCACCUUCUUCCUCCCUUCUCCACCGCCGCCGGCUGCCGUCGCCUCUACCGCCUCUCCGCGGUGGUGGGGCGUGGCCUCCUCCUCUCCACCGCUAGCCGCCAUAAGCUCGGGGCCGGAUUCGGCCGCUGCGACGAUGGUGGAGGCCGGAUCUGCCGCCGCGACGACGGGGGAGGCUAGAUCCGUCGCCGCGACCGCCGCAGGGCCACUAGUCUCUAAAGACUAAACUAUAUAUUUAAAAAAACAUUACCAAUAUAACUUUAUGAAAGAGAGUUUCUCAUAAAAAAAAAUAUACCAAUAUAACUUUUCAUAUUUUAAAUAUUUUUACGUCUAUUAAAUUUUUAAGGUUUCAAGAUUUGACUGCACUUACAGGAGAUACUACUAUACAAGAAUCAACGAGAAACGAAUUUUUAAGUUGCGAUAAACUGGUAGUAGUAAGAUUUUGUGAACAAGGAUAAUGCAUAUCUGUGUAAAAAAAAUAUAUAGUGCAAAUCACAUAUACAUUGAAAAUCUAGAAACUAUUGUCACGAGUAAAAUUUUUACCAACCAAACGGCCACAAUGUCGCGCAGGGCUUAUCCGGGGCACUACUGCCCAUGGGCUGAAAGUGCGGCCACAAGCCCACAAUAUCUUGCGGGGCUUAGCCGGGGCACCACGGCCCAUGGGCUCUAUCUCCCUCACCAGUAAAGCCCUAGCCUCCAAGACCGCACCCGUAUAAAGCUGCAGACCUCUCUCUCCUUCUCCUCCCCCGCCACCGCCGCUCGCCUCCGAAACCCUAGCCGCCCCCUCCCCGCGGCCGCGAAAAUGGUACGCUUCUCCCUCCUCCUCCUCCUCCUCCUCCCCUCCGCCGCACGACGGGAAGAUCGCACGCGUGCUUGUCCUCGUGCCAGUCCACGGCUCCGCGCGCCGUCUUUCUCAUGGUGUUUCACAAUUUGUAGGAUGCGUUCUUUAUUCAUGUUGAUCUGCCGUAGAUGGGGGGAUCUUGAGCCGGAGGAGAGGAGUAGCUAGUUUCUUUGAUUAUGCGUUUUGGGGUCUAGCGGAUUUUAACAUGAGAUGGUUUCUCUUUAGCGACAUUUUUUUUGUUCAUGUUGAUGUCCACGGUGAUUGUUCUAGUUAUGUCAUUUUUAUCUUCAAGACUUCAAUGCUUUGAAUCGUGGGUAUAGACCAGAUUAUUGUCGUGAAGAUCGACGUAUUUUCCGAGCUGACCCUCUGCAUGCUGAAAAUUUUGUAGUGGGUUAUAUCUAGAUUAUAUGUGUAUUGUUGUCAUUUAAUUAGCACUUAAACUUCUGUAGUAUGAACAUUUUCAUCAUUUUCCUGUGAGGACAUGGGAUGAGUUCCUUUUUUUUUCUCUUGUUCUAAAAUUGUUCGGUAAUCUUGUCUGGCUUUGACUGAUGGGCUCCGAUGAUGGCAUGAAAUCUUUGAGACCUGACAUUCUUGUGAUGACAAACAUAAGCAUAUUUCCUGAGACCCAAUUGAGGUUUUAACCAUUGGUUUGCUGAAUGUGUCUUCACUGUUGAAAAAUUUGUACACACAUUUGCUUCAAAUUAUGCACAUUUGAUUAUUGUUUAUAGGCCUGCGAUGUCCAUUCCACAUUCAGUAUUUGUUAAGCUGAGUGCUUUUGUUUCAAAUUUGUUUUGUAUAGGUGAACGUUCCCAAGACCAAGAAGACCUACUGCAAGAACAAGGAGUGCAGGAAGCACACCCUUCACAAGGUCACUCAGUACAAGAAGGGUAAGGACAGCCUGUCUGCCCAGGGAAAGCGCCGUUAUGACCGAAAGCAGUCAGGAUAUGGUGGUCAGACCAAGCCUGUUUUCCACAAGAAGGUACUGUGACAGUUUAUAUAUGAUUAUGCAGUGUUGUGUGUGACUCUCUGUUCAUUAGAAACGUACGGUGUCAUGAUUGAUGUAGCAGUGAUAUGUGUCUGUACAAUGCAUGUGGCAAUAACCAUCACGUAGUUUUAAUUGCAUGUGGCUUUCAGCUGUGCAUUUUUCAUGUUAUGAUACAUGGUUCCUGUUUUCAGGCAAAAACCACCAAGAAGAUCGUGCUGAAGCUGCAAUGCCAAAGCUGCAAGCAUUACUCCCAGCACCCCAUCAAGGUAUUAUUUCAUUGUCAAGACUCCAGAGCUGAAAAUUAUCAUGAAUCAUUAUUUUGCUGGAUGUGUUGGAUGCUCACUUGCAUAAUUGUUCUCUGCAGAGGUGCAAGCAUUUCGAGAUUGGUGGAGACAAGAAGGGCAAGGGAACAUCUCUUUUCUAAAUUGCUUGCUACCUACUGGAUACUAUAGUUGUUGGUCUACUGUGCUUCAAUAUUUCAAUGUUAUUAGGAGCUUAUUUAAGCAGACCAUAUCAAUGUAUUCAAGUAUCAUCGUCUGACAUUUACUCUAGCAAGGAUUGGCUUUCUGCUGAAUCAAGUUUUGUUGCUUAAUGCUCGUUGAAUCCAAUGUGAUGCAUGUGUUUAUAUUUUGCUGCAAUUUUAUCUUACGACAGUUCUAUUUACCUUAGUCCUCAGUAUCCCUUUUCUUUUUUUGUUAUCUUACCUGCUGUCUUUUGAUUAGUAGUUAGCAAACAUAGAGCGACCCACUUUAAUUACUUCCCGUGACAUGAAUAUGACCUCGAGAGAUUAGUCUAGUGAACUUCCUUUUUCAGACUGAAUGUUGUAUUGUUAACUGUACUGGCGUUUGGUCAGUAUCUUUCGAAAGAGAUGGAAUGUAGGGACGUAAUUUUAUUGCAAGAUAAUUCAUUUGUUCUUGUGGUUCAGUAUCUUGGAAGGUCUUGUGAUAUUAGUGAAUUCUUUUCGUAGCAUUGCAGUACUUGCUCUGUCCUUAAUGCAUGAUUCGAUAGGCUACGCAAUCCCGUUUGUAGUAAUGAAUUAAAAAUUAUAUAUUAUUAUGAACCGAAUAAAUAGCUUCGAACAAGCUAAGCAAUGCUGAUGUAGAAAAAAAUUAGUUUGAGAACCGUGGUAUAUUCCAAAGUUUGUAACUGUCAUAAGCUGCCCCCCAACCCACCCAAAAAAACCGGAUGGCAGCAAUCACAACUUAGCAUUGCUGCUCAUGGCAAUGUUCAUAUACUAUGAGUGCGGGUUAGUUCAGACUACAGACACGUGUGGUAAUUGUUUUUUUUUUAGUUUUUUAUUUUGUUUGUUAGGUGGUGUUUGGAUCCAGGGAUUAAACUUUAGUCUUUGUUUUAGAUACUAAUUUAGAGUAUUAAAUAUUGACUACUUACAAAACUAAUUACAUAAAUGAGAGCUAAUUCGUGAGACAAAUUUUUUAGGGUUAAUUGGAUAGAUGCCAUUAUAAAAUCUUUAGUUUUGAAAUAUACCGUUACUAUUAAACUAUUUAGAAACAUGCCAUUACAACUUUUUCAGGUAUUGGAAAUAUGUCACUGUACAACCUUUGGAUGUGUUUAACAAAAAUUUUAGACCAAAUCGCUCUCGUCUUCUCCUUUGUCUCCACCCUCUCCUGUUCAUCUUCUUUCUUCCAUUUCUUUCCCUUUUGGAUCUGGUAUCUUAGUAUUCUUCCUCCACAUCUCCUUUCUCGGCCAGCAACGGCGGUGUUGUGCUGCACCAUCUAGUUUCCCUUCUUCCCUUCGCUGGCCGCAUCACCACCUUCUCAGUUUCCAGCCUCCCCGAGGUCUACUGCAACAACCAAGACGCGGAGCAUGUCGUUCUUGAAUGUCCAGCACCCGGACGCCCAAGGACGUGCCCCUGUCGGUGCAGCUGGAGUCAUUCGCCUACAGCGGCUUCACCAUGGCGUGGUCCACGUCCACCGAUUACGUGCUCGUCGACGAGCGCGCCUUGUGCACAGGGCCGGUCCUGAGUUUUCAAGCUCUAGGACAAAAACUUACGUGGAGGCCCCUAUAUAUAUACAUAAACUAAUAUAUAUAUUUAUAGUCUUAUAAACAUGUAAUAUUUAAUAUUUGAUAUGAUAAAAUUAUCUAUAUAUAAUAUUUUAAAACUUUCAAAGAGAAAUAAUAUAAUCAUAAACACUUACUUGGCACUUUCAAAAGUUUCUUCUAAAAUUUCAAUGAAAUCAUCCGAACAUUUUUUCCGUUUUCUUUUUUCGCUACCGGAUACAUAUUUUCUUGACAAUAUGAUUAAUGUUGUGCUAAAAAAUAAUCAUUAAUUAUUAAGUAGUACAAGCUAAUAAUUUUUGAUCUAUAAAGAGGAAAAAGAAAGAUAGAGAAAAUUACCUUAGACGACGACUGCGAGGCGCGAGCAGCCGAUCGGCCGAUGAGGGCGCGCCGCCGGGCGGUUGGCCUCCAAUCGACGUAGUCAGCCAGUCAUGCAGAGCCGCUGCGAUUUGCUGCCGAUUGCCGUGUUUGCGUUGCGGUUUGCCGCCGUUUACCGUUUGCAACGCGACGCGAGGCGUGAUCGAGGCGACGGGAACGGAGUCAGAUCGCUUCACUUUUCCUUCGCUCCUCUUCGUCUUCUGUCUUCGAUACCAUACAUGAUUCAGGACUGAGAGCGAUGCUGACCCUGGGGGCGUCGUGGGCCAUGGCCCAUCCGCCAUGGGGCCCCCUAAAUUUUGGGGGACUCGGGCGUGCGCACGGGCUGACCCCCCCUAGGGCCGGCCCUGCUUGUGCAUGAUCCUGACAAAGUGACUAUUACUGUGUACUCCUAAUCUCACAGCAGCAAGAAACGGGAGGAAGAAGAUGAACAACAGAACAGGAGAGAUGGGGGAGGCAAAGGAAGAAGACGGGGGCAAUUUGGUCCAAAAUUUUUGUUAGACAUAUCCAAGGGGUAUGUAAUGGUAUAUUUCCAAUACCUGAAAAAUUAUAAUGGCAUACCUCCAAAUAGUUGAGUAGUAAUGGUAUAUUUCAAAACUGAAGAAUUUACAAUGGCAUGUAUCCAAUUAACCCAAUUUUUUAAGCCUAAUUAAUUCAUAAUUAUAGAAUGUUUAUUGUAUCAUCACAUAGGCUAAUCAUGGAUUUAUUAGGCUCAAUAGAUUCGUCUCGCGAAUAAGUCCAAGAUUAUGGAUAGGUUUUGUUAAUAGUCUAUAUUUAAUACUUCUAAUUAGUGUCCAAACAUCCAAUUUGGAAGGGACUAAAAAAUUUUAGUCCAUUCCAAACACCUCCUUAUUAUUUUUAUCAAAUAGCCACGUAAGCGUCAUGUCAAUAGCACGUGGGACGAAGACCCCUAGUCAAAGGCGUCAUGUCAGCUAAAACCGGAGACAUUGCUACCGAGAGAGCUCGUUUGCACAGUUUGAAGAAGGUGUCAUGUCAGCCAAAACCAGAAAUAUUAUUACCGAGGGACCUCGUUUGCACACUUUGAAGGAUGGAUUGUAUAUGGUUUUCGGAUAAGGAUGAAAAACAGACUAAGCGACAAAGUAAGAGACCUAAAGUGAACUUAUUUGAGGGAUAAAGUCCACUUGGACUUCCUUAACUAUAAGGGAAUAAGUUCACCUGACGUCCCUUAACUUUAAGUCGAGUUCGUCUGAGGUUCCUAAUCCACAAUAAAAUCUCUACCUCUCAACUAAUCAUAAACCGUGCGAAAAAGAUCACAAAACAGACGGAGCGAUGAAGUAAGGGACCUAAAGUGAACUCAUUUUGAGGGAUAAAGUCACUUCAUAACUAUAAGGGAAUAUAAGUUCACCUGACGGCCCUCAACUUUAUGUUGAGUUUGUCUGAGGUCCCUAAUCCGCGAUAGCAAAAAUCUCUACCCCUCAACUAUCAUAAACCGUGCAAAAAAGAUCCCAAGACAAUAUUGAUCCAUUUUCUCCGGUUUUGCUGACGUGGCAUACGGUGGGACCCACAUGUCAGCGUCCUGUCUUCUCCUCUUUUCUUUUUUCUUUUUUUUUCUUCUUGUCUUUUCUUUCUUCUCUCUUCUCCUCUUCCCUUCUUCUCCUAGCCUGAGAGGCCGGCGGGCGGGCGAGCAGGCGACGGCAGGCGGUGGCGGCGGUGUGCGGAGCAGGCAAGGGGUAACGGGUGGCGGGCGAGCGACGGCGCCUCAGAGAGGGUGUGGUGUGGGCGUCGCUGUGCUGUGGCGGGCGGAGCGGGGUGGCGGCGGUGGGGUGCAGAGGACGACGACAUAUGGAAGUGAUGGCGGACGCUGUAGGGGACGAUGGCGAGGAGGACGAAGUAGGCCGGGAGAGGAUGACUCCGACGCGCUUGGGGUUUCACCAGGAGACCUCGCCUUCACCGUCUUCGUGCCCUCACCAGAGUCGUUCCACCGCGUCCUCAGGCUGCGGCGUCCCAAUAACAACGUUGCCGAUGGGUGGGUCUCACAUUUUCCUUCUAUUUCACUUACAUGUGGGACUCACAUAUUAUUUUAUUCCUAUUUUGCUAACUAGGAUGCCACGUUAGUGAAACCAAGACAUCUAUACUGCCAUAGGACAUAAAUUGAACGGUUUUGUAUAUUUGGGGUGAAGAUUUCUGGUAUUGAGGAUAAGGGAUGGCAAACAAACUCGGUGUAAAGUUGAGGGACAUCAGAUGAACUUAUUCCAACUAUAAGGCAACGCAUCACGGUGCAUGGCCCAUGGGCUGCGCAUUCUGGCCCACAAAGCAGCACACGCACCAGUAAACCCUAGCCUCCAGGAGCUCACCCGUAUAAAGUCGCAGACCUUCUCCUUCCCCUCCCCGCCGCCACUCGCCGCAGCGUGUCGACCAGACAAGGCAGCGCCUCCGAAACCCUAGCUCCCCGCCUUCCCCUCCGCGGCCGCCAAAAUGGUACGCUUCUUCCUCCUCCCCGUCCGCCUCUCUCCGCCGCACGACGGCAAGAUCAUGCGCUCGUGUGUCCUCGUGCCAGUCCACGGCACCCUGCUCUGGUCGAUUUGUAGGGGGAUUGCGUUCUUUAUUCAUGUUGAUCUGCUGUAGAUGGGGGCGAUCUUGAGCCGGAGGAGUAGCUAGUUUCUUAUUGAUGCGGUUUCGGGGUUUUUAGAGAUUUAACACGGUUUCGCGGUUUCUCUUUAGCGAUUUCUUUUUUCAUGUUGAUAUAAUGAUAUCCACGGUGGUUGUUCUAGUUAUGUCAUUUUUAUCUUGAGUGCUUUGUGUGAUUGUUUUUCAAUUGUGGGUAGAGACCAGAUUAUUGUCGUUAAGAUGCAUGCUCUGAAACGCGGAAUUUUUUUGUAAUGGGUUAUAUCUAGAUUAUGUGUAUUGCUGUCAUUCAAUAGUCUUUUCUUAAUACAAGGCGCAACCGUCUUUUCUUCAAGUACCAGUAUACAAGGCGGCAACUGCUCAACUCCGUACUUGGUGCAUGCAAGCAUUGAAUGGAUGGUUGCAUGAGCUCAUGAUAUUCGGUUCAUUAGUUUAAAGGCAAAGGAUCCACCACUCGGAUGCUUGCAUGCACGCGCAAAAACUGCAGGACACGGGUGCAUGCUGCUUUGGCACUAGAUGCGAUGAACUGAUCAAAGCGUCACGCAUUGGAACGCGCUGGAAUAAAUCGGUACGAUGGGUAGUUAUAGGUUUUCUUGUUCUCCGAGUCCAAACAAGUUAUGCCUUGUAUUAAGGAAUGGAGGGAGUAGCAAUUAACUUCUGGAGUAAACAUUUUUCAUCAUCUUCCUUGAGGACGUGGGAUGAAUUCUUUUUUUUAUCUUGUGCGAAAAUUGUUUGGUAAUCAUGUCUGGUUUUGACUGAUGGGCUCCGAUGAUGGCAUGAAAUCUUUGAGACCUGACAUUCUUGUGAUGACAAACAUAAGCAUAUUUCCUGAGGACCCAAUUGAGGUUUUAACCAUUGGUCUGCUGAAUUUGUCUUUGCUGUCGAAAAAUAUCGAUUCACAUGUGCUUCUGAUUAUGCACAUUUGAUUGUGUUGUUUAUAGGCCUGCUAUGUGCUUUCCAAUAACCAGUAUUUGUUAAAUUUGUUUCAUAUUUCUUAUGUAUAGGUGAACGUUCCCAAGACCAAGAAGACCUACUGCAAGAACAAGGAGUGCAGGAAGCACACCCUUCACAAGGUCACUCAGUACAAGAAGGGUAAGGACAGCCUGUCUGCCCAGGGAAAGCGCCGUUAUGACCGUAAGCAGUCAGGAUAUGGUGGUCAGACCAAGCCUGUUUUCCACAAGAAGGUAUUGUGACAGUUUAUAUGUGAUUACGCAGUGCUGUGUGUGAUUGUCUCUCUUCAUUAGAAACAUAUGGUGUCAUGAUUUGUGUCUGUUCAAUGCAAACAUGUGGCAAUAACCAUCAUGUAGUUUUAAUGUAUCUGACUUUCAGCUGUGCAUUUUUCAUGUUAUGAUACAUGGUUCCUGUUUUCAGGCAAAAACCACCAAGAAGAUUGUGCUGAAGCUGCAAUGCCAAAGCUGCAAGCAUUACUCCCAGCACCCCAUCAAGGUAUUAUUUCAUUGUCAAGACUCAAGCUGAAAAUUGUCAUGAAUCAAUCAGUAUCUUUUUAGAUGUGUUGGGUGCUAUCUUACAUUAUUAUUCUUUACAGAGGUGCAAGCAUUUCGAGAUUGGUGGAGACAAGAAGGGCAAGGGAACAUCUCUUUUCUAAACUACCUACUGGAUACUGAAGUUGUGGGUCUAUUGUGCUUCAUACUUCAAUGUUAUUAGGAACUUAAUUUAAGCAGACCAUAUCAUGUAUUCAAGUAUCAUCGUCUGACAUUUACUCUAGCAAGGAUUGGCUUUCUGCUGAAUCAAGUUUUCUUGCUUAAUGCUCGUCGAAUCCAAUGUGAUGCAUGUCUUUAGAUGGCACUGCAAUUGUGACUUUUGUCUUAUGGCAGUUUUAUCUCCCUAAGUCCUCAGUGUCUGUUUUUCGUUAUCUUACCCGAGUUUGCAAUCCUAGAGCGACCCACGUAAACGAAUUCCUGUGACAUGAAUCCCUGAGAGGCUAGUCUGAUGAACUUCCGUUUUUCAGAUCGAAUUUCGUAUAUGGUUAACUAUACUAUGUUUUGUUCAAUAUCUUCGUAACGAGAUGGAAGGUAUGGAAUACUAUGGAUGGAGGUGAAUUGAAAGAUAGGCCUUGGUCUUGUGAUUGUUAUCUUAGAAGGUCGAUACUAAUGUUUGGUCUUGUGGCGUUAGUGAAACUGUUUUCGUAGCAAUGUUUGGUCUUGUGAUGUUAUUGAACUGUUUUCGUAGCAUUGUAUUACUUGUUCCAUUCUUCAUGCAUGAUUUGGAUAGGUUAUUGACAAUUGUUUAUAGUAAUGAAUUAAAUAUUACACUCCUAAAUUAUUAUAAACCGAAUAAAUAGCUUAAAGCGAGCCAGGCAAUGCUGAUGUAGAAAAUUUCUAGUUUGAGAACCGUGGUAUGCAUAUCCCGAAGUUCAUAAGCUGAAAAGAUUGCACCCUAAAUCUAAUGUAUUGUAGUUUUCCUGUACUGAAAAUGCUGUUGGAUCGGACAGCCGUGGUGAUUGGUUGCGUUCAUUUUCAAGUUGUAGCCAAGUUAAAUAAAGUAUAGAAGGAUAUGCAAGUAGCAACAUCGGAGGAGUGCCAUCGCAGUGAUCCUCCCAAAAAGCACGAAAGAAACAUCUUCAUUGGAACCUAAGCAGCUCUGGCCUUUUGAGCCCAGAAAAGCUAUCCUUGAUUCAAGCACAAACCGUCAUUUGGUUAUAUGCUUUCUCCAAAUACUAGCAUGAGUAAAUUGCAUUGGCGGUACACGAACUUGCUAGGUGGAAGCAAUCUAGUACAUAAACUUAUAAAACGCUCAUUUUGAUACACGAACUUGUUAGGUGCAUGUGAAUCAAGGCCAAAAGAAAAAACAAAGCUAAUCUUAUUUUAGUGUUAAUUAGGAUACUACAUAAACACAUGUGUGAGAAAAAUGCUAAGUACAUAUACAUUUGUUCAAUAAAAAGGGGUUAAUAAGGCCUAAAGAUUGUAUGGAGAAAGACACAAAAAUACUGAGAAAUAGUGCAAGGGGUAGAACAAAGAAUAAUAAAGCACAAAUGCAUGUCUCAUGUCCACCUCCAUAUGCACAUCUCGUCCUAAUCAGUGUAUAACUUAGUAAAAUUGAUUAUGAUGUGUCAUUUUGACCUUGUUUCACAUGCAUCGAACAAAUUCAUGUACCGAAACAAGUCUUUUACAAGUUCGUGUAGUAAAGUGCAUCCAUCUGGCAAUUUACUCUACUAGCAUUUGAAGCUAAAAGGCUUUGGCCUUUUGGAGCCCAGAAAAGCUGUUCUUGAUUCCAGAACAGAUCGUCAUUUUUGGGGUAUAUGCCUCCUCCAGAAUCCUAAAAUUCUCAUUUCAUGUAAGGAAAAUCGCAAGUGUCCAACGCUGAAUCCAUCCCAGAGAUCUCAGUGAGCAAAUUGCACAGCGCCAGUUGGGACUAUUCAAGGAUUUUCAGGGCCAUGCCCUGUACCCAUCAUCCAUCACCCAGCAACAAAACAAGCCGGACCGUAGUGUGUCAAGCAUGCACUGCUUCUGCUCUCCGAUCUAACCGGUAGCCCCCAACUCAUUCUGAACCACACCUUGUGUUUUGGACCACAUCACAAAAUUCAGAAGCAGCAGCAGCAGCAGCAAAGGGUCAAGCAAAAAAUCUAACAGCUUUAUUUAGGCAGAUCCACCUCUCUACAUCAUCAUAGUCAUAGUACAAGAACUCGACGAAUUCAGAAGAAACAUUGGCAGCUACACCUAGAGAAAGAAAAAUGAAAAGAAAAGAAGAUCUAAUAUAUUACAAGGGAUCCUUGGAUAUAUGCUCAUAGCAUUGUUACAUCCCGAGCACCGAGUCGCGACUUGUGGCGAAAACGGGUGCCAUUUCCAUGCUUAUGCCAUUACUGCUUCGCCUGAAAAAAUGAGAUGUUUUUUUUUUGGUUAGAGAUUCAGACUUAUGUUCAUGAAUUGGCUCUUUUGUGAAAAAUGUGAUUUGGUAAAACAUGUGCGGAAAAUCUACCUGAGAGUAGAUGAAAGUUCCGAGAAUCGCAAUGGCGGCUCCGAGGGCGUUGAUGGGCUGGACCGGCGUGUGGAAGAUGAUGAUGGAGGCGACAAUGACGGAGAUCCGCUUCAUGGUGUUGCCGAUGCUGAAUGUCAGUGGUGAGAUCUCGUCCAAUGACAUGUAGGACACUUGGUUGUACAAGUGGUAGAACACACUCUGCGCCGCCACCCACCUACAAAACCACAGAGAAAUCCAUGGCCACAUGAAUCAGCUGGAUUAUCACACAAAAAUAUCAUCAAAUCUUUUGAUACUUCUUAUUUCUCUUUCAGAAUGAACUGAAGAAGAUAUUGCCGCUUAGGAGGAAAUGAUAGUGAUAGGACGAUCCUAUAUCUAUAUUAAUUGAUAAUGGUUCUUUUUGUAUAGAAUACUUGAGUGAUGUUACUGAAAGUACAAAGUGUUGCAUGCUGAAACUGUUUGAAAGCUUAGGUCAAGCACUUAUCACUAGAAAUUUUUUGCCCAAUUGAUACCCAAAAAUCUCAACUGACGUGAUGGUUGUGACAGUGAAACGGUGAGAAGUGGUACAAAGAAAAGCAUGUGAGGCUCACCAGACGAAGUUUGGACCGAUCUCGGCGACGGCUUUUUGCCAGCCGGCAGCCCACACCUUGGGCCCCUCCAUGGCGAAGGCGAAAGGGAGGAGGAUGACCAGCGAGAGCAUGGAGAGGCAGGCGUAGUAGUUCAUCCCGCUCACCGACUUGCCCUUCAUCCCCUUCUUGGAGAAUAUGUUCCGGAACACGAAUGCCAGGUUCGAGAUCAUCGCCCCCAUGAAUCCUGCAUCGAAUUUUCAGCAAUACACGAUGAACAGAUUGAUGUGAUGUGUCAGGUUUAUGAACAAAUUGUGCACUUUUUCGUGGCUGGUGUAUAUUUCUUUAUCUGACAUAAGAAAACAUAUCUUUGGUUAAUGGACAGUUCUUGUUCUGAAGAAUUCUUGGAGAUAAUAUCUAUUUUUUUAAUCAAAAAGUGAGGAUAUUUCUGGUGUAUCUGCUGCAAGUAUCUCCAGGAUUUCAGGUGGAGAGACAGAGAGAUGCAGAGUGUUUGCUCACUCACCAAUCAUGUUGAAAUUGAGCUCGGUGAUGGCGGCGAGGGCGCAUCCGCCGAUGAUUGGGAGGAGGGAGAAGUAGACCGGCGCCGGGAAGUGCUCGCCGAGGAAGAACCUGGAGACGAGCACGCUGAACGCCGGCUCGCCGCUCUUGAUGAUGUGGGUGAACGACACCGCCACCUUCGCCAUGCUCACCGUCGCCGCCACGUGCCCGAUGGUGUGCGCGAUCGCCACCUGCUCGUCCCACAACGAGCAAAAACGAAUCCCCAAAUCCAACGAACGCGUCAGAGAUUCAGAAUAGAACAGAAUCAAGAAGGAGGAGACGAUGGUGUCCAUGGUCAAUGCGAUCUCACCGGAGACAGGGCCUUCCAGAAAUCGAGGUCGGUGGCGGGCGCCUCGGCGAUCCUGGUGGCCCAGGAGGCGAGCAUGAUGGCGGAGCCGGCGGCGAGGGAGAGCGUGGACGUGAGCCACGGGUAAGGGAACGCGUUGAGCACCUUCUUGUUGUAGAUGUUGAAGAUCACGUUCAGCGCCCACCACGUCGCGAAGUAGACCCCGAUCUUGGCCCGCCUCGCCGCCUCCUCCGGCGCCGCGCCCGCCGGUGCAGCCUCCACCGGCCGGGCGCCGUCGGCGGUGGCGGACGGCGGCGGCGGCGCCGGUGACGCGACGCGCGACGCCAGGAAUAACGGGUCCUGCUGCCGGUACAGGGGGCGCGCCGAGAGGGAGAGGGGACGUGGCCCGGCGGCGGCGGCGGCGGCGGCGAAGAGGGGAGGGAGGUGGAGGGGCUUGAAUAAUGCCAUCUUGGGCGCCGUGGCGGUCCCGGCCGUGGAGAGCUUGACGGAGGCGGCGGCGGCGAGCAUAUUGGCGGCGGGAAUGGUGGCGCCGGCUUCUUCAGUUACAGUUACUGUGUUGUGUUGUAGCCGGCCGUCCGUACGUCUAUGGCGGCGAUGGGUUGCGGCCAUAGAGACUGCUCGCAUCGAGUCUUCUUCAAUCCGACUAUAACAAAUUGCUAGCUAGUUCCACGCCCUCCAACGCCCUUUUAGGGAAGGAAGCCUCAAAGGAGAGAGGGCCGCCGAACAAUGUGGUUGAGGACAAUCCAAGGAAAAGGGUGGAGACGAAGAGGGAGCUGGACAAAAGAUAAGUGGUAGAGGGGGGAAUCCUACAGCUAGAAGAACAUCAACCGCGUCAACAGGGAAGGCUGCAAGAAUAGUAGCCAUUCAAGCCAAAGAAAACCGUAGGCACUAACAUAAAAGACCUGACCUAAUCCAUCAAUCAAGGAGCAUGCUAAAAGGAGAUCUAGAGAGAGGGAGAGGCACUGGCAAAUCCUAAUUGAUGGAUCAGAGCCAAGCAUGUUAUGGCAAGGAGCUCGUUGGCUAGCUCAAGGGCGCCUCAAAGAGGAGGGAGGAGGAGGGAUGGGGAUGGAAGAAGGUGUUGGGCAAGGUCACCAGUCCCGCGGGGGAGGGGGGGUCCGAGGCCAGAGCCUGCCACCGGUGCCACGGAUUCGACCAGAUCCAGCCGCUAGGAGCGCAGAUCUGCACGCCACCAGUCGGGGGCGCCGGGCCUAGCCUUCAUCGCCGGCUGAGGGGGGGGGGACUAUAAGGAGCCAAGCCGAGGCCCAUCACCGCCCUCACGGACGACACGUCGCCAGACAGCACCGCUGGCGACUGCCCUCCGCGGCCAAGGAGCACGACCGCUCCUUCGCCGGGAACAGCACACCGUCGCCGGGACACACGCCGCCGCACCGCCUCCACCACGCCCCAUCGCGCCACCGCGCACGGCAUUGUUGCUCUCCUCCGGCCAGGUCCAAAAGCAGGGUGCAUUUUUCAUGUUAUGAUACAUGGUUCCUGUUUUCAGGCAAAAACCACCAAGAAGAUUGUGCUGAAGCUGCAAUGCCAAAGCUGCAAGCAUUACUCCCAGCACCCCAUCAAGGUAUUUUUGCAAUGUGAAGAUUCAAGCUGAAAAUUCUCAUGAAUCAGUAUCUUUUUAGAUGUGUUGGAUGCUCACUUACAUAAUUAUUCUGUGCAGAGGUGCAAGCAUUUUAAAAUUGGUGGAGACAAGAAGGGCAAGGGAACGUCUCUUUUCUAAACUACCUACUGGAUACUGAAGUUGUGGGUCUACUGUGCUUCAUACUUCAAUGUUAUUAGGAGCUUAAUUUAAGCAGACCAUAUCAUGUAUUCAAGUACUCUAGCAAGGAUUGGCUUUCUGCUGAAUCAAGUUUUGUUGCUUAAUGCUCAUUGAAUCCAAUGUGAUGCAUGUGUUUAUGUUGCACUGCAAUUUUGUCUUAUGGCAGUUUUAUCUCCCUAAGUACUCGGUGUCUGUUUUUCGUUAUCUUACCUAUGUUUGCAAUCCUAGAGCGACCCACUUAAACGAAUUCCUGUGACAUGAAUCCCUGAGAGGUUAGUCUGAUGAACUUCCAUUUUUCAGACUGAAUUUCGUAUAUGGUUAACUAUACUAUGUUUUGUUCAAUAUCUUCGUCACGAGAUAGAAGGUAUGGAAUACCAUGGAUGGAGGUGAAUUGUAAGAUAGGCCUUGGUCUUGUGAUUGUUAUCUUAGAAGGUCGAUACUAAUGUUUGGUCUUGUGGCGUUAGUGAAACUGUUUUCGUAGCAAUGUUUGGUCUUGUGAUGUUAGUGAACUGUUUUCGUAGCAUUGUAGUACUUGUUCCAUUCUUCAUGCAUGAUUUGGAUAGGUUAUUGACAAUUGUUUAUAGUAAUGAAUUAAAUAUUACACUCCUAAAUCUAUUAUAUAAUUAAAGGAAUAGAAAAAGGAGCCUCCACGUUUACUCUCAUGGCUUAGAAAUUCUCACAUUAAUCGGAGAAAAAAAAACAGAGUCCAUAUAGAAAUACAAUUUAGAAAUAGCUGAAAUUCGGAAUUAAAAAAUAAGGAAUAUUAGAAGAGAAGACUAGAGUUCAUAUAGAAAUACACUUUAGAAAUAGUUGAAAUUUGGAAUUAAAAAAUAAGGAAUAUUAGAAGAGGAGUAUAGAGUCCAUAUAGAAAUACAAUUAGGAAAUAAUAGAAAUUCGGAAUUAAAAAUAAAGAAUAUUAGAAGUAGAGUAUAGAGUCCAUAUAGAAAUACAAUUAGGAAAUAAUAGAAAUUCUGAAUUAAAAAUAAGGAAUAUUAGAAGUAGAGUAUAAAGUCCAUAUAGAAAUACAAUUAAGAAAAAAUAGAAAUUCAGAAUUAAAAAAUAAGAAAUAUUAGAAGUAGAGUAUAGAGUCCAUAUAGGAAUUUAAAACUAACUAAAAUUCGGAAAAAAAAAAAGGAGCCUCUACGUUCGCUCCCAUGGCCUAGAAAUUCUCACAUUAAUCGAAGAAAAAGAAAAAAACAGACUUCAUAUAGAAAUACAAUUUAGAAAUAGCUGAAAUUCAGAAUUAAAAAUAAGGAAUAUUAGAAGAGGAGACUAGAGUCCAUAUAGAAAUACACUUUAGAAAUAGCUGAAAUUCGGAAUUAAAAAAAGAAAUAUUAGAAUAGGAGUAUAGAGUCCAUAUAGAAAUACAAUUAGGAAAUAGUUGAAAUUCGGAAUUAAAAAUAAGGAAUAUUAGAAGUAGAGUAUAGAGUCCAUAUAGAAAUACAAUUAGGAAAUAAUUGAAAUUCGGAAUUAAAAAUAAGGAAUAUUAGAAGUAGAGUAUAGAGUCCAUAUAGAAAUACAAUUAGGAAAUAACUGAAAUUCGGAAUUAAAAAUAAGGAAUAUUAGAAGUAGAGCAUAGAGUCCAUAUAGAAAUACAAUUAAGAAAAAAAAUAGAAAUUUGGAAUUAAAAAUAAGAAAUAUUAGAAGUAGAGUAUAGAGUCCAUAUAGGAAUUUCAAACUAACUAAAAUUCGGAAAAAAAAAGGAGCCUUCACGUUCGCUCUCAUGAUCUAGAAAUUCUCACAUUAAUCGGAGAAAAAGAAAAAGCAGAAUCUAUAUAGAAAUACAAUUUAGAAAUAGCUGAAAUUCGGAAUUAAAAAAAAGAAAUAUUAAAAGAGGAGACUAGAGUCCAUAUAGAAAUACAAUUUAGAAAUAGUUGAAAUUCGGAAUUAAAAAAUAAGGAAUAUUAGAAGUGGAGACUAGAGUCCAUAUAGAAAUACAAUUAGGAAAUAACUGAAAUUCGAAAUUAAAAAUAAGGAAUAUUAGAAGUAGAGUAUAGAGUACAUAUAGAAAUACAAUUAGGAAAUAACCGAAAUUUGGAAUUAAAAAUAAGAAAUAUUAGAAGUAGAGUAUAGAGUCCUUAUAGAAAUACAAUUAAGAAAAAAAAUAGAAAUUUGGAAUUAAAAAAUAAGGAAUAUUAGAAGUAGAAUAUAGAGUUCAUAUUGGAAUUUAAAACCAACUAAAAUUCGGAAUAAAAAGGAGCUUUCAGGUUCGCUCUCAUGGCAUAGAAAUUCUCACAUUAAUCAGAGAAAAAGAAAAAACAGAGUCCAUAUAGAAAUACAAUUUAGAAAUAGCUGAAAUUCAGAAUUAAAAAAUAAGAAAUAUUAGAAGAGGAGACUAGAGUAGUUAUUACACAUUAGUAGUUUUGAAAAGUUAUUGCAAAAUUUAAAAUUAUGUUGUCAUUGUAAUAUAUUAUAAUAAUAUAAUGAGAAAACAUAUAUGCUAUUAUAUGAGAGAAAAUAUAAUGAUGCUAGCCGCGCAAUAUGCGCAGGCCACCAUGCUAGUUAUUAUAAACCGAAUAAAUAGCUUAGAACGAGCCAGGCAAUGCUGAUGUAGAAAAUUUCUAGUUUGAGAACAGUGGUAUGCAUAUCCCGAAGUUCAUAAGCUGAAAAGAUUGCACCCUAAAUCUAAUGUAUUGUAAUUUUCCUGUACUGAAAAUGCUGAGGGGGGGACUACAAGGAGCCAAGCCGAGGCCCGUCACCGCCCUCACGGACGACACGUCGCCAGACAGCACCGCUAGCGACUGCCCUCCGCGGCCAAGGAGCACGACCGCUCCUUCGCCGGGAACAGCACACCGUCGCCGGGACACACGCCGCCGCACCGCCUCCACCACGCCCCAUCGCGCCACCGCGCACGGCAUUGUUGCUCUCCUCCGGCCAGGUCCAAAAGCAGGGUGCCAGAUCCAGCCACGGGGGCGCCAGAUCCGAAGCUUCGCGCCGCGCUGAUGUCAGCCCCCACCUAUCACGCGCCGCGUCAUCAUCCUCACGCUGAGCCGUCGCGUCGCCGAGGAAUGGCCUCGCCGCCGCCCUCACAGUUGGCCGCGCGGAACUCCGGUGGCGCGCUCCGGCGGCGGCGAGGGGGGAGAGGAAGGGAGGGGGCGGCGGGGGCUAGGGUUCACCCCCUGUGCCGCUCGCGUGAGAGGGCGACGCGGGGGUCGUGCCGGCUUCGUACUCUUCCAAUUGAGGAUAAGAUGAACUGAUGUGAUAAGUAGUACGGGAUUGUACUUAUUUUAAAACAAAAUUUGAAUAUAAAAUCAUACUUAUUUUAGAAGGAUUGUAGUAUUUGGACUUGGGAGUAAUUUUACUGUUCUUGGUAUUAGAAGGUACCAUUUCUUUUAUAUAAAACUUGGUAUUUCUCGAGGUAUAAAAAACAUACGGUUAGGACCGUAACGAACUGUGUUAGCUGUAGGUUUGCAUCUGUUCCCAAGGUGAUUUAAUUUGAGCAAUUGCAAAUAGCUUUUUCUUCUUUCACUCGGCAGCUGAAUCUUGCUUGGUGGAGUACUCGGGCCGUGCACGUUCAUCCACGGGUUUGAUUUGACAUUGGUCAUGAGCGCGUUUUAGUGGACAAAGUGGUGGUUAGCAUAGUGAAAUUGUCAACGCGAGAAGCAGAAACCAAUUGCUGUUGCUGUCGCCGGUACCAAUACUGUAUGGUGUUCCUGUUCCAUCAGAAUUCAGUCGAGUGCAUGGCAGCUCAUUCUUGUGGCCCAUCACACAAUUAAUCUCCGACGAUGUACUGUACGUAGUGGAGCAUUUAGAUUAGUAAUUCUCGAAUACAUUUUCGUAAGGGUUAAGUGGGCAUAUGUAACGUGUUCACUCCUUGUUACUAUCUCUGUUUUCAGAUGAGUGACAUCAUCAGCAUAGUCCGCAAUACACAUUUUAUCAUCAUAACAAUUUUACACUAUAAAAAACGAUUUUUCGUGAUGUUACCCUAUAUUUUACGCUGGCGUCCAUAUGCAAAAACCGCCAAAAAAACAUAACAAUAGGUGGGGGGCUACGGACCACCAGCAGAAACCAAUUUUUGCUGAUAACCACGCUAAGAGAAAUGCCUAAAAAAACUACUCUAUUUUUCGAGACGAACCUCUUAAGUGUCUGCCAGUUUUUCGAGGCGGACCUCUUAAGUGUCCGCCAGCGAAAAAUCUCAUUUUCACCGGCAGUAGGUAAGGAGGACCACUGCGAAAAAUGUUUUGGGCGAAUAUAUAAAUCUACUGUCCCCCACCCCCACCGCUCCCUUCUCCCUUCCCCCACUGCGCGGCCCCUCCGCCGCCUCUCUUCCUUCUCUCUCGGUUUCACCUUCUUCCUCCCUUCUCCACCGCCGCCGGCUGCCGUCGCCUCUACCGCCUCUCCGCGGUGGUGGGGCGUGGCCUCCUCCUCUCCACCGCUAGCCGCCAUAAGCUCGGGGCCGGAUUCGGCCGCUGCGACGAUGGUGGAGGCCGGAUCUGCCGCCGCGACGACGGGGGAGGCUAGAUCCGUCGCCGCGACCGCCGCAGGGCCACUAGUCUCUAAAGACUAAACUAUAUAUUUAAAAAAACAUUACCAAUAUAACUUUAUGAAAGAGAGUUUCUCAUAAAAAAAAAUAUACCAAUAUAACUUUUCAUAUUUUAAAUAUUUUUACGUCUAUUAAAUUUUUAAGGUUUCAAGAUUUGACUGCACUUACAGGAGAUACUACUAUACAAGAAUCAACGAGAAACGAAUUUUUAAGUUGCGAUAAACUGGUAGUAGUAAGAUUUUGUGAACAAGGAUAAUGCAUAUCUGUGUAAAAAAAAUAUAUAGUGCAAAUCACAUAUACAUUGAAAAUCUAGAAACUAUUGUCACGAGUAAAAUUUUUACCAACCAAACGGCCACAAUGUCGCGCAGGGCUUAUCCGGGGCACUACUGCCCAUGGGCUGAAAGUGCGGCCACAAGCCCACAAUAUCUUGCGGGGCUUAGCCGGGGCACCACGGCCCAUGGGCUCUAUCUCCCUCACCAGUAAAGCCCUAGCCUCCAAGACCGCACCCGUAUAAAGCUGCAGACCUCUCUCUCCUUCUCCUCCCCCGCCACCGCCGCUCGCCUCCGAAACCCUAGCCGCCCCCUCCCCGCGGCCGCGAAAAUGGUACGCUUCUCCCUCCUCCUCCUCCUCCUCCUCCCCUCCGCCGCACGACGGGAAGAUCGCACGCGUGCUUGUCCUCGUGCCAGUCCACGGCUCCGCGCGCCGUCUUUCUCAUGGUGUUUCACAAUUUGUAGGAUGCGUUCUUUAUUCAUGUUGAUCUGCCGUAGAUGGGGGGAUCUUGAGCCGGAGGAGAGGAGUAGCUAGUUUCUUUGAUUAUGCGUUUUGGGGUCUAGCGGAUUUUAACAUGAGAUGGUUUCUCUUUAGCGACAUUUUUUUUGUUCAUGUUGAUGUCCACGGUGAUUGUUCUAGUUAUGUCAUUUUUAUCUUCAAGACUUCAAUGCUUUGAAUCGUGGGUAUAGACCAGAUUAUUGUCGUGAAGAUCGACGUAUUUUCCGAGCUGACCCUCUGCAUGCUGAAAAUUUUGUAGUGGGUUAUAUCUAGAUUAUAUGUGUAUUGUUGUCAUUUAAUUAGCACUUAAACUUCUGUAGUAUGAACAUUUUCAUCAUUUUCCUGUGAGGACAUGGGAUGAGUUCCUUUUUUUUUCUCUUGUUCUAAAAUUGUUCGGUAAUCUUGUCUGGCUUUGACUGAUGGGCUCCGAUGAUGGCAUGAAAUCUUUGAGACCUGACAUUCUUGUGAUGACAAACAUAAGCAUAUUUCCUGAGACCCAAUUGAGGUUUUAACCAUUGGUUUGCUGAAUGUGUCUUCACUGUUGAAAAAUUUGUACACACAUUUGCUUCAAAUUAUGCACAUUUGAUUAUUGUUUAUAGGCCUGCGAUGUCCAUUCCACAUUCAGUAUUUGUUAAGCUGAGUGCUUUUGUUUCAAAUUUGUUUUGUAUAGGUGAACGUUCCCAAGACCAAGAAGACCUACUGCAAGAACAAGGAGUGCAGGAAGCACACCCUUCACAAGGUCACUCAGUACAAGAAGGGUAAGGACAGCCUGUCUGCCCAGGGAAAGCGCCGUUAUGACCGAAAGCAGUCAGGAUAUGGUGGUCAGACCAAGCCUGUUUUCCACAAGAAGGUACUGUGACAGUUUAUAUAUGAUUAUGCAGUGUUGUGUGUGACUCUCUGUUCAUUAGAAACGUACGGUGUCAUGAUUGAUGUAGCAGUGAUAUGUGUCUGUACAAUGCAUGUGGCAAUAACCAUCACGUAGUUUUAAUUGCAUGUGGCUUUCAGCUGUGCAUUUUUCAUGUUAUGAUACAUGGUUCCUGUUUUCAGGCAAAAACCACCAAGAAGAUCGUGCUGAAGCUGCAAUGCCAAAGCUGCAAGCAUUACUCCCAGCACCCCAUCAAGGUAUUAUUUCAUUGUCAAGACUCCAGAGCUGAAAAUUAUCAUGAAUCAUUAUUUUGCUGGAUGUGUUGGAUGCUCACUUGCAUAAUUGUUCUCUGCAGAGGUGCAAGCAUUUCGAGAUUGGUGGAGACAAGAAGGGCAAGGGAACAUCUCUUUUCUAAAUUGCUUGCUACCUACUGGAUACUAUAGUUGUUGGUCUACUGUGCUUCAAUAUUUCAAUGUUAUUAGGAGCUUAUUUAAGCAGACCAUAUCAAUGUAUUCAAGUAUCAUCGUCUGACAUUUACUCUAGCAAGGAUUGGCUUUCUGCUGAAUCAAGUUUUGUUGCUUAAUGCUCGUUGAAUCCAAUGUGAUGCAUGUGUUUAUAUUUUGCUGCAAUUUUAUCUUACGACAGUUCUAUUUACCUUAGUCCUCAGUAUCCCUUUUCUUUUUUUGUUAUCUUACCUGCUGUCUUUUGAUUAGUAGUUAGCAAACAUAGAGCGACCCACUUUAAUUACUUCCCGUGACAUGAAUAUGACCUCGAGAGAUUAGUCUAGUGAACUUCCUUUUUCAGACUGAAUGUUGUAUUGUUAACUGUACUGGCGUUUGGUCAGUAUCUUUCGAAAGAGAUGGAAUGUAGGGACGUAAUUUUAUUGCAAGAUAAUUCAUUUGUUCUUGUGGUUCAGUAUCUUGGAAGGUCUUGUGAUAUUAGUGAAUUCUUUUCGUAGCAUUGCAGUACUUGCUCUGUCCUUAAUGCAUGAUUCGAUAGGCUACGCAAUCCCGUUUGUAGUAAUGAAUUAAAAAUUAUAUAUUAUUAUGAACCGAAUAAAUAGCUUCGAACAAGCUAAGCAAUGCUGAUGUAGAAAAAAAUUAGUUUGAGAACCGUGGUAUAUUCCAAAGUUUGUAACUGUCAUAAGCUGCCCCCCAACCCACCCAAAAAAACCGGAUGGCAGCAAUCACAACUUAGCAUUGCUGCUCAUGGCAAUGUUCAUAUACUAUGAGUGCGGGUUAGUUCAGACUACAGACACGUGUGGUAAUUGUUUUUUUUUUAGUUUUUUAUUUUGUUUGUUAGGUGGUGUUUGGAUCCAGGGAUUAAACUUUAGUCUUUGUUUUAGAUACUAAUUUAGAGUAUUAAAUAUUGACUACUUACAAAACUAAUUACAUAAAUGAGAGCUAAUUCGUGAGACAAAUUUUUUAGGGUUAAUUGGAUAGAUGCCAUUAUAAAAUCUUUAGUUUUGAAAUAUACCGUUACUAUUAAACUAUUUAGAAACAUGCCAUUACAACUUUUUCAGGUAUUGGAAAUAUGUCACUGUACAACCUUUGGAUGUGUUUAACAAAAAUUUUAGACCAAAUCGCUCUCGUCUUCUCCUUUGUCUCCACCCUCUCCUGUUCAUCUUCUUUCUUCCAUUUCUUUCCCUUUUGGAUCUGGUAUCUUAGUAUUCUUCCUCCACAUCUCCUUUCUCGGCCAGCAACGGCGGUGUUGUGCUGCACCAUCUAGUUUCCCUUCUUCCCUUCGCUGGCCGCAUCACCACCUUCUCAGUUUCCAGCCUCCCCGAGGUCUACUGCAACAACCAAGACGCGGAGCAUGUCGUUCUUGAAUGUCCAGCACCCGGACGCCCAAGGACGUGCCCCUGUCGGUGCAGCUGGAGUCAUUCGCCUACAGCGGCUUCACCAUGGCGUGGUCCACGUCCACCGAUUACGUGCUCGUCGACGAGCGCGCCUUGUGCACAGGGCCGGUCCUGAGUUUUCAAGCUCUAGGACAAAAACUUACGUGGAGGCCCCUAUAUAUAUACAUAAACUAAUAUAUAUAUUUAUAGUCUUAUAAACAUGUAAUAUUUAAUAUUUGAUAUGAUAAAAUUAUCUAUAUAUAAUAUUUUAAAACUUUCAAAGAGAAAUAAUAUAAUCAUAAACACUUACUUGGCACUUUCAAAAGUUUCUUCUAAAAUUUCAAUGAAAUCAUCCGAACAUUUUUUCCGUUUUCUUUUUUCGCUACCGGAUACAUAUUUUCUUGACAAUAUGAUUAAUGUUGUGCUAAAAAAUAAUCAUUAAUUAUUAAGUAGUACAAGCUAAUAAUUUUUGAUCUAUAAAGAGGAAAAAGAAAGAUAGAGAAAAUUACCUUAGACGACGACUGCGAGGCGCGAGCAGCCGAUCGGCCGAUGAGGGCGCGCCGCCGGGCGGUUGGCCUCCAAUCGACGUAGUCAGCCAGUCAUGCAGAGCCGCUGCGAUUUGCUGCCGAUUGCCGUGUUUGCGUUGCGGUUUGCCGCCGUUUACCGUUUGCAACGCGACGCGAGGCGUGAUCGAGGCGACGGGAACGGAGUCAGAUCGCUUCACUUUUCCUUCGCUCCUCUUCGUCUUCUGUCUUCGAUACCAUACAUGAUUCAGGACUGAGAGCGAUGCUGACCCUGGGGGCGUCGUGGGCCAUGGCCCAUCCGCCAUGGGGCCCCCUAAAUUUUGGGGGACUCGGGCGUGCGCACGGGCUGACCCCCCCUAGGGCCGGCCCUGCUUGUGCAUGAUCCUGACAAAGUGACUAUUACUGUGUACUCCUAAUCUCACAGCAGCAAGAAACGGGAGGAAGAAGAUGAACAACAGAACAGGAGAGAUGGGGGAGGCAAAGGAAGAAGACGGGGGCAAUUUGGUCCAAAAUUUUUGUUAGACAUAUCCAAGGGGUAUGUAAUGGUAUAUUUCCAAUACCUGAAAAAUUAUAAUGGCAUACCUCCAAAUAGUUGAGUAGUAAUGGUAUAUUUCAAAACUGAAGAAUUUACAAUGGCAUGUAUCCAAUUAACCCAAUUUUUUAAGCCUAAUUAAUUCAUAAUUAUAGAAUGUUUAUUGUAUCAUCACAUAGGCUAAUCAUGGAUUUAUUAGGCUCAAUAGAUUCGUCUCGCGAAUAAGUCCAAGAUUAUGGAUAGGUUUUGUUAAUAGUCUAUAUUUAAUACUUCUAAUUAGUGUCCAAACAUCCAAUUUGGAAGGGACUAAAAAAUUUUAGUCCAUUCCAAACACCUCCUUAUUAUUUUUAUCAAAUAGCCACGUAAGCGUCAUGUCAAUAGCACGUGGGACGAAGACCCCUAGUCAAAGGCGUCAUGUCAGCUAAAACCGGAGACAUUGCUACCGAGAGAGCUCGUUUGCACAGUUUGAAGAAGGCGUCAUGUCAGCCAAAACCAGAAAUAUUAUUACCGAGGGACCUCGUUUGCACACUUUGAAGGAUGGAUUGUAUAUGGUUUUCGGAUAAGGAUGAAAAACAGACUAAGCGACAAAGUAAGAGACCUAAAGUGAACUUAUUUGAGGGAUAAAGUCCACUUGGACUUCCUUAACUAUAAGGGAAUAAGUUCACCUGACGUCCCUUAACUUUAAGUCGAGUUCGUCUGAGGUUCCUAAUCCACAAUAAAAUCUCUACCUCUCAACUAAUCAUAAACCGUGCGAAAAAGAUCACAAAACAGACGGAGCGAUGAAGUAAGGGACCUAAAGUGAACUCAUUUUGAGGGAUAAAGUCACUUCAUAACUAUAAGGGAAUAUAAGUUCACCUGACGGCCCUCAACUUUAUGUUGAGUUUGUCUGAGGUCCCUAAUCCGCGAUAGCAAAAAUCUCUACCCCUCAACUAUCAUAAACCGUGCAAAAAAGAUCCCAAGACAAUAUUGAUCCAUUUUCUCCGGUUUUGCUGACGUGGCAUACGGUGGGACCCACAUGUCAGCGUCCUGUCUUCUCCUCUUUUCUUUUUUCUUUUUUUUCUUCUUGUCUUUUCUUUCUUCUCUCUUCUCCUCUUCCCUUCUUCUCCUAGCCUGAGAGGCCGGCGGGCGGGCGAGCAGGCGACGGCAGGCGGUGGCGGCGGUGUGCGGAGCAGGCAAGGGGUAACGGGUGGCGGGCGAGCGACGGCGCCUCAGAGAGGGUGUGGUGUGGGCGUCGCUGUGCUGUGGCGGGCGGAGCGGGGUGGCGGCGGUGGGGUGCAGAGGACGACGACAUAUGGAAGUGAUGGCGGACGCUGUAGGGGACGAUGGCGAGGAGGACGAAGUAGGCCGGGAGAGGAUGACUCCGACGCGCUUGGGGUUUCACCAGGAGACCUCGCCUUCACCGUCUUCGUGCCCUCACCAGAGUCGUUCCACCGCGUCCUCAGGCUGCGGCGUCCCAAUAACAACGUUGCCGAUGGGUGGGUCUCACAUUUUCCUUCUAUUUCACUUACAUGUGGGACUCACAUAUUAUUUUAUUCCUAUUUUGCUAACUAGGAUGCCACGUUAGUGAAACCAAGACAUCUAUACUGCCAUAGGACAUAAAUUGAACGGUUUUGUAUAUUUGGGGUGAAGAUUUCUGGUAUUGAGGAUAAGGGAUGGCAAACAAACUCGGUGUAAAGUUGAGGGACAUCAGAUGAACUUAUUCCAACUAUAAGGCAACGCAUCACGGUGCAUGGCCCAUGGGCUGCGCAUUCUGGCCCACAAAGCAGCACACGCACCAGUAAACCCUAGCCUCCAGGAGCUCACCCGUAUAAAGUCGCAGACCUUCUCCUUCCCCUCCCCGCCGCCACUCGCCGCAGCGUGUCGACCAGACAAGGCAGCGCCUCCGAAACCCUAGCUCCCCGCCUUCCCCUCCGCGGCCGCCAAAAUGGUACGCUUCUUCCUCCUCCCCGUCCGCCUCUCUCCGCCGCACGACGGCAAGAUCAUGCGCUCGUGUGUCCUCGUGCCAGUCCACGGCACCCUGCUCUGGUCGAUUUGUAGGGGGAUUGCGUUCUUUAUUCAUGUUGAUCUGCUGUAGAUGGGGGCGAUCUUGAGCCGGAGGAGUAGCUAGUUUCUUAUUGAUGCGGUUUCGGGGUUUUUAGAGAUUUAACACGGUUUCGCGGUUUCUCUUUAGCGAUUUCUUUUUUCAUGUUGAUAUAAUGAUAUCCACGGUGGUUGUUCUAGUUAUGUCAUUUUUAUCUUGAGUGCUUUGUGUGAUUGUUUUUCAAUUGUGGGUAGAGACCAGAUUAUUGUCGUUAAGAUGCAUGCUCUGAAACGCGGAAUUUUUUUGUAAUGGGUUAUAUCUAGAUUAUGUGUAUUGCUGUCAUUCAAUAGUCUUUUCUUAAUACAAGGCGCAACCGUCUUUUCUUCAAGUACCAGUAUACAAGGCGGCAACUGCUCAACUCCGUACUUGGUGCAUGCAAGCAUUGAAUGGAUGGUUGCAUGAGCUCAUGAUAUUCGGUUCAUUAGUUUAAAGGCAAAGGAUCCACCACUCGGAUGCUUGCAUGCACGCGCAAAAACUGCAGGACACGGGUGCAUGCUGCUUUGGCACUAGAUGCGAUGAACUGAUCAAAGCGUCACGCAUUGGAACGCGCUGGAAUAAAUCGGUACGAUGGGUAGUUAUAGGUUUUCUUGUUCUCCGAGUCCAAACAAGUUAUGCCUUGUAUUAAGGAAUGGAGGGAGUAGCAAUUAACUUCUGGAGUAAACAUUUUUCAUCAUCUUCCUUGAGGACGUGGGAUGAAUUCUUUUUUUUAUCUUGUGCGAAAAUUGUUUGGUAAUCAUGUCUGGUUUUGACUGAUGGGCUCCGAUGAUGGCAUGAAAUCUUUGAGACCUGACAUUCUUGUGAUGACAAACAUAAGCAUAUUUCCUGAGGACCCAAUUGAGGUUUUAACCAUUGGUCUGCUGAAUUUGUCUUUGCUGUCGAAAAAUAUCGAUUCACAUGUGCUUCUGAUUAUGCACAUUUGAUUGUGUUGUUUAUAGGCCUGCUAUGUGCUUUCCAAUAACCAGUAUUUGUUAAAUUUGUUUCAUAUUUCUUAUGUAUAGGUGAACGUUCCCAAGACCAAGAAGACCUACUGCAAGAACAAGGAGUGCAGGAAGCACACCCUUCACAAGGUCACUCAGUACAAGAAGGGUAAGGACAGCCUGUCUGCCCAGGGAAAGCGCCGUUAUGACCGUAAGCAGUCAGGAUAUGGUGGUCAGACCAAGCCUGUUUUCCACAAGAAGGUAUUGUGACAGUUUAUAUGUGAUUACGCAGUGCUGUGUGUGAUUGUCUCUCUUCAUUAGAAACAUAUGGUGUCAUGAUUUGUGUCUGUUCAAUGCAAACAUGUGGCAAUAACCAUCAUGUAGUUUUAAUGUAUCUGACUUUCAGCUGUGCAUUUUUCAUGUUAUGAUACAUGGUUCCUGUUUUCAGGCAAAAACCACCAAGAAGAUUGUGCUGAAGCUGCAAUGCCAAAGCUGCAAGCAUUACUCCCAGCACCCCAUCAAGGUAUUAUUUCAUUGUCAAGACUCAAGCUGAAAAUUGUCAUGAAUCAAUCAGUAUCUUUUUAGAUGUGUUGGGUGCUAUCUUACAUUAUUAUUCUUUACAGAGGUGCAAGCAUUUCGAGAUUGGUGGAGACAAGAAGGGCAAGGGAACAUCUCUUUUCUAAACUACCUACUGGAUACUGAAGUUGUGGGUCUAUUGUGCUUCAUACUUCAAUGUUAUUAGGAACUUAAUUUAAGCAGACCAUAUCAUGUAUUCAAGUAUCAUCGUCUGACAUUUACUCUAGCAAGGAUUGGCUUUCUGCUGAAUCAAGUUUUCUUGCUUAAUGCUCGUCGAAUCCAAUGUGAUGCAUGUCUUUAGAUGGCACUGCAAUUGUGACUUUUGUCUUAUGGCAGUUUUAUCUCCCUAAGUCCUCAGUGUCUGUUUUUCGUUAUCUUACCCGAGUUUGCAAUCCUAGAGCGACCCACGUAAACGAAUUCCUGUGACAUGAAUCCCUGAGAGGCUAGUCUGAUGAACUUCCGUUUUUCAGAUCGAAUUUCGUAUAUGGUUAACUAUACUAUGUUUUGUUCAAUAUCUUCGUAACGAGAUGGAAGGUAUGGAAUACUAUGGAUGGAGGUGAAUUGAAAGAUAGGCCUUGGUCUUGUGAUUGUUAUCUUAGAAGGUCGAUACUAAUGUUUGGUCUUGUGGCGUUAGUGAAACUGUUUUCGUAGCAAUGUUUGGUCUUGUGAUGUUAUUGAACUGUUUUCGUAGCAUUGUAUUACUUGUUCCAUUCUUCAUGCAUGAUUUGGAUAGGUUAUUGACAAUUGUUUAUAGUAAUGAAUUAAAUAUUACACUCCUAAAUUAUUAUAAACCGAAUAAAUAGCUUAAAGCGAGCCAGGCAAUGCUGAUGUAGAAAAUUUCUAGUUUGAGAACCGUGGUAUGCAUAUCCCGAAGUUCAUAAGCUGAAAAGAUUGCACCCUAAAUCUAAUGUAUUGUAGUUUUCCUGUACUGAAAAUGCUGUUGGAUCGGACAGCCGUGGUGAUUGGUUGCGUUCAUUUUCAAGUUGUAGCCAAGUUAAAUAAAGUAUAGAAGGAUAUGCAAGUAGCAACAUCGGAGGAGUGCCAUCGCAGUGAUCCUCCCAAAAAGCACGAAAGAAACAUCUUCAUUGGAACCUAAGCAGCUCUGGCCUUUUGAGCCCAGAAAAGCUAUCCUUGAUUCAAGCACAAACCGUCAUUUGGUUAUAUGCUUUCUCCAAAUACUAGCAUGAGUAAAUUGCAUUGGCGGUACACGAACUUGCUAGGUGGAAGCAAUCUAGUACAUAAACUUAUAAAACGCUCAUUUUGAUACACGAACUUGUUAGGUGCAUGUGAAUCAAGGCCAAAAGAAAAAACAAAGCUAAUCUUAUUUUAGUGUUAAUUAGGAUACUACAUAAACACAUGUGUGAGAAAAAUGCUAAGUACAUAUACAUUUGUUCAAUAAAAAGGGGUUAAUAAGGCCUAAAGAUUGUAUGGAGAAAGACACAAAAAUACUGAGAAAUAGUGCAAGGGGUAGAACAAAGAAUAAUAAAGCACAAAUGCAUGUCUCAUGUCCACCUCCAUAUGCACAUCUCGUCCUAAUCAGUGUAUAACUUAGUAAAAUUGAUUAUGAUGUGUCAUUUUGACCUUGUUUCACAUGCAUCGAACAAAUUCAUGUACCGAAACAAGUCUUUUACAAGUUCGUGUAGUAAAGUGCAUCCAUCUGGCAAUUUACUCUACUAGCAUUUGAAGCUAAAAGGCUUUGGCCUUUUGGAGCCCAGAAAAGCUGUUCUUGAUUCCAGAACAGAUCGUCAUUUUUGGGGUAUAUGCCUCCUCCAGAAUCCUAAAAUUCUCAUUUCAUGUAAGGAAAAUCGCAAGUGUCCAACGCUGAAUCCAUCCCAGAGAUCUCAGUGAGCAAAUUGCACAGCGCCAGUUGGGACUAUUCAAGGAUUUUCAGGGCCAUGCCCUGUACCCAUCAUCCAUCACCCAGCAACAAAACAAGCCGGACCGUAGUGUGUCAAGCAUGCACUGCUUCUGCUCUCCGAUCUAACCGGUAGCCCCCAACUCAUUCUGAACCACACCUUGUGUUUUGGACCACAUCACAAAAUUCAGAAGCAGCAGCAGCAGCAGCAAAGGGUCAAGCAAAAAAUCUAACAGCUUUAUUUAGGCAGAUCCACCUCUCUACAUCAUCAUAGUCAUAGUACAAGAACUCGACGAAUUCAGAAGAAACAUUGGCAGCUACACCUAGAGAAAGAAAAAUGAAAAGAAAAGAAGAUCUAAUAUAUUACAAGGGAUCCUUGGAUAUAUGCUCAUAGCAUUGUUACAUCCCGAGCACCGAGUCGCGACUUGUGGCGAAAACGGGUGCCAUUUCCAUGCUUAUGCCAUUACUGCUUCGCCUGAAAAAAUGAGAUGUUUUUUUUUUGGUUAGAGAUUCAGACUUAUGUUCAUGAAUUGGCUCUUUUGUGAAAAAUGUGAUUUGGUAAAACAUGUGCGGAAAAUCUACCUGAGAGUAGAUGAAAGUUCCGAGAAUCGCAAUGGCGGCUCCGAGGGCGUUGAUGGGCUGGACCGGCGUGUGGAAGAUGAUGAUGGAGGCGACAAUGACGGAGAUCCGCUUCAUGGUGUUGCCGAUGCUGAAUGUCAGUGGUGAGAUCUCGUCCAAUGACAUGUAGGACACUUGGUUGUACAAGUGGUAGAACACACUCUGCGCCGCCACCCACCUACAAAACCACAGAGAAAUCCAUGGCCACAUGAAUCAGCUGGAUUAUCACACAAAAAUAUCAUCAAAUCUUUUGAUACUUCUUAUUUCUCUUUCAGAAUGAACUGAAGAAGAUAUUGCCGCUUAGGAGGAAAUGAUAGUGAUAGGACGAUCCUAUAUCUAUAUUAAUUGAUAAUGGUUCUUUUUGUAUAGAAUACUUGAGUGAUGUUACUGAAAGUACAAAGUGUUGCAUGCUGAAACUGUUUGAAAGCUUAGGUCAAGCACUUAUCACUAGAAAUUUUUUGCCCAAUUGAUACCCAAAAAUCUCAACUGACGUGAUGGUUGUGACAGUGAAACGGUGAGAAGUGGUACAAAGAAAAGCAUGUGAGGCUCACCAGACGAAGUUUGGACCGAUCUCGGCGACGGCUUUUUGCCAGCCGGCAGCCCACACCUUGGGCCCCUCCAUGGCGAAGGCGAAAGGGAGGAGGAUGACCAGCGAGAGCAUGGAGAGGCAGGCGUAGUAGUUCAUCCCGCUCACCGACUUGCCCUUCAUCCCCUUCUUGGAGAAUAUGUUCCGGAACACGAAUGCCAGGUUCGAGAUCAUCGCCCCCAUGAAUCCUGCAUCGAAUUUUCAGCAAUACACGAUGAACAGAUUGAUGUGAUGUGUCAGGUUUAUGAACAAAUUGUGCACUUUUUCGUGGCUGGUGUAUAUUUCUUUAUCUGACAUAAGAAAACAUAUCUUUGGUUAAUGGACAGUUCUUGUUCUGAAGAAUUCUUGGAGAUAAUAUCUAUUUUUUUAAUCAAAAAGUGAGGAUAUUUCUGGUGUAUCUGCUGCAAGUAUCUCCAGGAUUUCAGGUGGAGAGACAGAGAGAUGCAGAGUGUUUGCUCACUCACCAAUCAUGUUGAAAUUGAGCUCGGUGAUGGCGGCGAGGGCGCAUCCGCCGAUGAUUGGGAGGAGGGAGAAGUAGACCGGCGCCGGGAAGUGCUCGCCGAGGAAGAACCUGGAGACGAGCACGCUGAACGCCGGCUCGCCGCUCUUGAUGAUGUGGGUGAACGACACCGCCACCUUCGCCAUGCUCACCGUCGCCGCCACGUGCCCGAUGGUGUGCGCGAUCGCCACCUGCUCGUCCCACAACGAGCAAAAACGAAUCCCCAAAUCCAACGAACGCGUCAGAGAUUCAGAAUAGAACAGAAUCAAGAAGGAGGAGACGAUGGUGUCCAUGGUCAAUGCGAUCUCACCGGAGACAGGGCCUUCCAGAAAUCGAGGUCGGUGGCGGGCGCCUCGGCGAUCCUGGUGGCCCAGGAGGCGAGCAUGAUGGCGGAGCCGGCGGCGAGGGAGAGCGUGGACGUGAGCCACGGGUAAGGGAACGCGUUGAGCACCUUCUUGUUGUAGAUGUUGAAGAUCACGUUCAGCGCCCACCACGUCGCGAAGUAGACCCCGAUCUUGGCCCGCCUCGCCGCCUCCUCCGGCGCCGCGCCCGCCGGUGCAGCCUCCACCGGCCGGGCGCCGUCGGCGGUGGCGGACGGCGGCGGCGGCGCCGGUGACGCGACGCGCGACGCCAGGAAUAACGGGUCCUGCUGCCGGUACAGGGGGCGCGCCGAGAGGGAGAGGGGACGUGGCCCGGCGGCGGCGGCGGCGGCGGCGAAGAGGGGAGGGAGGUGGAGGGGCUUGAAUAAUGCCAUCUUGGGCGCCGUGGCGGUCCCGGCCGUGGAGAGCUUGACGGAGGCGGCGGCGGCGAGCAUAUUGGCGGCGGGAAUGGUGGCGCCGGCUUCUUCAGUUACAGUUACUGUGUUGUGUUGUAGCCGGCCGUCCGUACGUCUAUGGCGGCGAUGGGUAGGGGGGAGGUGUUGGGGGGAGGAAGGUAUUUAUAGGGAGCGCGCGAAGAAGAAGGGAGGCGGUUUUGUGCAUGUAUGUCGCCAGCCAUGGCAUCUUUCUCACCGUAGUGAGGUUUUUGAUUUUUGCUGCCUCUGAAUUAUUGCCUUUCUUUUUUCUUCUUAAAAUGUGCAUUUCUUUCUUUUUUAUAUACAGUUUGUCCGCUGUGUCGUUUUUCGAUAUUACAAUUAUUUGCGAUUAAUUUAUGGUCAUGUUUUAUACAUAAUGCUCGGUUAAUUGUAUAUAAUGCACUAUCGAUCCACCAUGCACGAUUAAAUUCAGCUAUAACCAUAUUGGGAGGACAUAAAUACUAUGCAUUAUGUUAAGAAAAGGCUAGUGCUUCCAUGAUUUGUGCCUGCUAAGGGCUUGUUCGGAUCACAGGAUAGGAAAAACAUAGGAAUAGGAAAACACAGGAAUAAUAUAGGAUUGCAUAUGCAAAACGUAUAAUUGAAAAACAAUGGAAUUUGAUGAUAUGAAGCGUUCGGAAUACAUGAAUAUAUAAACCAUAGAAAUGUUCUAAUUAAUAUUGAUCUCAUAUAUUAUAGUAUAAUUAUAGUAUAAUUAAGCAAUAAAAUAUUAGUUCCCAUCUAGUCACUCCAACGUGAUUAGCAUCUACCCUGUGGUAGCUAAUGAAAAAAAUGAGGUGUGAGUGGAUGUUCAGAAUCCUAUGGAAUUCCCGCAUUUUCACAGGGUUGCUAUAGUAUUCCUACAAAAUUCCUACACGUGCUUCCUAUGAACCGAAUGCAUGAACAUGGCCAAAUCCAAAGGAUUUGCCAAUCCUACAAAAUCCUGUGUAAUCCCUCCGUUCCGAACAAGCCCUAACUAAAUUGCUGCACAAAGUAGUAUCUAAUGUAUGGAAAUGUUCAUCUGUAUAUGUUUCAUCUUUACUGUUUGAGAAUCCGUUUUUGCUAGAAUGCAUGAAACAGAAUGAUCAAAUCUUAGCACAUCUCAGGUAUUCAUUUAUGAAAUAUUUUCUCUUUUCUGAUAAAAUAAUGACAGGAAUUUUUCUAAUACUAAAUCAACACAUUCAUUUGCACAUAUCUAUUUUUACCAUACCAAUUUAUUCAUGGUUUGGUACAUAUAACAGUUGAUUCCUCAAUUCUUUGUUCGUUGUGUGUAUGAUGUUGAAAUAGCUCAAUGAUUAUUUCUACAUUCAAAAUAGAAAAACAUCGACAACUACAUUUUAAUUGUUAGUAAGUGAUUUUGUAUAUUAAUUAAUAUUUUUUCGAGAAAUGCAUAUUUUUCAUGUUGCGUAUGGGCUACGUAUCGUUACAGUUGUGAACAUGUAGUACUAAUAACGUAUAUUUUACGCACGUUUAAAAUUGUGAAGAGAAUUUGCCUAGCAUUUUCAGGGAAGUGUUUUCACACUCUUGGCCACUUGGCAUUGGCUUGCCUCUUGGUUGUUGGGUGGUACAAUACGAGGGCUUUUCAUUUGACCGCUGCUUGUACGUAUAUAUAGCAGCCAAAUGAGUUCUUUCGAAAUUCUAAACAUGCUCAAAGACUUGCAAAAUCUCCCACCUUGCAAAAUCAACAUCAAUAUUGAUGUCAACAUGCAUUUUCAUAGGAGGAUAUAUAUGGAUACUAACUACUCCCUAAUUAAGCUCAGAAUUAUAAGGGCUUACGCCAUCACGCGAGGUGCUCAUAUGAACCAAUAAUAAAAUGAAUAUCAUCUGUUUAAUUAUAAGGAGCUAGUACUGUAACAAAACUGUGAAAAUGAUUAAAAUUUAAAAAAUAUACUACUAAGUUGGUGUCGAAUAUAAUUAUUUGCAACCAACGGUGUUCUUUCGAAGUAAAACCGGAAAACGACGUACCCACCACAACGGUACAAAACCUAACACUACUGGCACACUACUAGUCGGAGCCUCGGAGGAGGUGAGCCGUCAACAGAAGAGCCAUCCCGGCCCUGUGCCGGCAACGACCGUCGACCGCUAAUUCUCACGUACGCCCCGACCCGAGAGAGCCUCUCGCCGUCCGUCCGGUACAGCGAACCUCACCACCAGCGUAGCCGCCUACCAGCUGCGUUUCACCUUCGCCCUCGCGAGCGCGGAAGGCGGAAGCUUCACGCGAUUCACGCCGACCCGAGACCGAGACCUCGUCGCGCAUCCGUCGUCCGUUUCUCUCCUCGCGUACCUCGCGACGAUCGAAACCAAACGGACGACGCGGGCACACUGGCACGUCACGUCGACACGUCCUGUGCCGCGGGGCCCUGUCCUGUCCUCCCGGGCUCCUCGCGGCCGUCCGCUCGCUGCGUGACGGCGUGUGCGGGUCACCUAGCUAGCUAGCGCCAAGAGAGGAGGAGCUAUAGGAGGGGGGGUUUUAGCGGCGGAGAGAGGCCGUGGCCCCGCGUGGCGCGCGAUCUGCACACCUCGGCCGUCCGUGAGGGACCCCGGUCACGUGGGACGUGGGCGUGGGGGCGCGUACUGUGCGGGAAGAUUUUUUUUUCGGGGUGGGGCGAGAGGGAUGCACCAUACUCCCUCCGUAAAAAAAAAAAAUCAAACCCUAAGUUUUCGUGUCCAACUUUGACUGUCUGUCUUAUAUAAAAUUUUUUUAUAAUUCGUAUUUUUAUUGUUGUUAGAUGAUAAAACAUGAUUAAUAUUUUAUGCGUGAUUUGUAUUUUUAAUUUUUUUCAUAAUUUUUUUAAAUAAGAAAAACAGUACAACGUUGGACACGAAAAUCAGGUUUUUUUUUUUUGGCGGAGAGAGUAUGCCAAUAGCCCAGUACGACGACGGACGGACGCUGCAGCACAAGGCGCUGUCGUUUAGGGGUGCAAUUUGGUCGCUCGCGUCGUCGCUUUGUGGGCGUCCGCGCGCUAUUUCCAUUCUGCUGCUUCCCCUGAAUGGCAACUACUGCUAAGCUAGUAUAGCAAGUGGUGAAAUUGGUGAAUGGUGAUCGAUCGCCUCGCGGCUUGGAGUGGAGAAGGCGCUCUCGAUCAGAUAUCCAGAUCGAUCGGAACUAGCAAUGGGUGAUCGUGCUGUAUGAAUUAGGAAAGGCUCGUCCAAGAAAAAUGGUACUGUAAUGUUACUACUAUUCGACGAAUAUGGGCAAAGCUCCCGUUUUCAGGGAAUCGAGAAGACAGACACAUAUGCUAUGCUAUACAACUUGCACGUACGAUUGAUCGAUUCCGGAUCGUACUGACGUAUUUGUAACCUACUCGAUCUCUCACUCUCCGUGCCGUUGGAAUUUCGUGCUGUCAUUUUUCUUUUAAGAUCGGUUUAACCCGUGCCAUCGAUCUACCCACACACACACAUUGCCGACUGCUACCCAUCGAUCGAUCAGCGCUGGGAGGUUUAGUGAUCGUCGAUCGUAUAUAUGUUAUGUACAGCUUGGUAGCUGCGCUUUAGUCUUACUCCUAGCUACGUGCCGUGUUUCGCUUGCUUGCUACUAGGACAGUACAGUACGUACUACUAGCUAGGAUGAGGAGCAACACACGCACAUCAUCAUGCCGUACGUUUUGUCAGCUGUCGCUGCCCACACCAACCCGGCAUCCGCGCGGACCAGCAUCGGGCGGCCGCGCCGUCCGUCUGCUUCCGAGCCUUUCCUUCCGCGGCCAUCGGCGCAUGUGCUAUCCUGUCACCUCGCGAGCUUUGUUCGCAUCCGCCCCGCCCCGCCCAACCGCAGCUGCAACCUGCAGCGCGCGCGCCUCUGCUGCGGCCGGAGAUUUUUUUUUUCUCUGCGCGGCGCGCGCGAGCGCCGUGUGCGGGUUUUUCACCACCACCACGCGAUCAUUCGACGCGCCACGGCGUUUCGAUCAAGGCGUGCGCGCAUGCGCGUCGGUUUCCCCGUGCGUGUUGCUGUUUCCAUCGGCGAGUCGUACGUACGUACAUGGCCACGCGCCACGUACGUCUCGCCCCACGUGGAAAAGGGAGAGCAAAAUGUGUGUGCAGAUUAUAUAUAUACGCGGAUCAGAAGUGAGGUCACGGUGCGUGCGUGAGCUUGAGUAUAUGUAGUCACACGGAAAUCACGUAUAUAUAUUCAGCUGUGUACUCUUGUGUGUGUGUGUGUAUGUAUGGCAGUAUGGGACGGGAGACUGUUUGGCAUGCACUUUGGUUUCAAGAGGCUGGCGGUAGGUAGAUCCGGCCAAGUUUACUCGUGGUGCUAGUUACAGCCACAUGAUUGGGGUAUGUACUGUUGUCAUACAGAACGUUCUAGCGAGCAAGAGUAGCACUACUUUGCUAGUGAUCUUCCAAAAAGAAAACAAUAAGAAAGAAUAGUACCCUCUAGUAGUAUAUUAGUUGUACUAACUUGUAAGUAAUAAUAUGCUUUAUCAGGCCACGAAUAUAAGAGAUAAUAUGUUAUUUAAGAGAGUUUAAAGUUGAGAUAAAAAUACUUUAUAUUCCUAGGAGAUUUUACUUCACUAGAAAAGAUAACUAUUGCUUGAGAACAGGAGUAGUAUACAAAAGCACAUAUAGGCACAACUAAUGUACACAUGCUCAACUUGAUUAUAUUUCUAGUCCCAUUUUUCAUCAAGGAUGUGAGCUCAUCGUACUGAUUUCUUUCGAACACCAAAAUUUAAAUGGAAGUUCAAAUGAAUUAGCUUAACUCAUAAAAUUCUUUGAAAUACCCUAGCCACUCUCUUCGUAGAGAAAAUAAAAGCAGAUGCAGGAUAAAAAAUAAUGUUCUUUCCAUUCAAUAAACCUAUAUGGGCACACAACGGUGUCUAUUUAAGGCCCAAUCUGGUCGGGGGAGCUAAUUGGCGCGCGCCCCUCCACCGGCCACGUGGCUUUUUUUUUUUUGCGACUUCCCGAUUUUUCUCUUUUUUUUGUGUGAUUUUUUUAGCGAUUUUCAGCACGAUUUUUCCUUUUUUUUCGUGAUUUUUUCCCUUUUGCCUCCCUCCCCUCAGCGUAUUUUCCAUAUAUUUUUUUCAUUCUUUUUUUUAAAAUUUGAAAGUUUUUAAAUUUGAGUUGAAAGUUUUUAAAUAUGGACUUGAAAGUUUUCAAUCUCGAGUUGAAAGUUUUCAAAUCUGACUUGAAAGUUUUUAAAAUUUGUCUUACAAAUUUAAAUUUCGAGUUGAAAAUUUUCAAAGUUUAAGUUGAAAUUUUUUAAAUUUUGACUUCAAAGUUCAAAUCUUAAGUCGAAAGGUUUCAAAUCUAAGUUAAAAGUUUAAAUUUCUAGUUGAAAAUAUUAAAAAAUUGAAUUUAGAUUUUCAAAUUUUGAGUUAAAAGUUUUAAAUUUUAAGUGAGAAUUUUUUUUCACGUAUAGAUUUUUUUGGAUGACUCCUGGUCGGGCGUCCGAUCAGGAGAGGGUAAAAUCGGGCGCUGACGUCAGCGUCCGAUUUACAUGCAAAAUUACUUUAAACUGAUUUAUCUCUUAAACUACUUAUCCAAAUGAUGAUCCGAUUGCACUAUUAAAUUCAUUGCAAUUAAAUCUUCAAAACAAGACCACGCAUGGAUAUAUUUCGACGAAAUUUUCUUUUAUCUUAUUAUUGAAUUAUUUUUAAAUGUUGCAAGAUGUUCCACCAGAUAUAUCAGAAUUGUUUCACUAAGUAGAUCGAAAAUGUUUCACUCGUUUAAAUUGGGUGUUGUUUCACCUUAUAUAAAAACAAUGUUUCAGCAAAUAGCGAAAGAAUGUUUCAGUUCACUGCAACAUUAGAUCUAUACAUAGUGAAACAUUUUUGAGUACACUCGGUGAAACAUUUUUCGGUGGAACAAAAAAUAAACCAAAUUCUCUUAAUAGGGGUUUCCAAAAUAUGUGGGUUUUUUGUUGCAAUGGAAUGUUUCGUUCAGUGUAACAUUAGAUCUAUACAUAGUGAAAUAUUAUGAGUACACUAGGUGAAACAUUUUGGGUGGAACAAAAAAUAAACAAAAUUCCCUUAAUAGAGAGUUUCUAAAAUAUGUGGGUUUUUUUUUUUGCAAAAGAGUAUUUUAAUUUACUACAACAUUAGAUCUAUAAAUAGUGAAACAUUGUAAAUACAUUAUGUGAAACAUCUUUUGUGGAAAAAAGAGGAGCAUAAAUAGGUGGGCCUAAGUAGGCACGUGGGGGAGGGGGCGCGGGGGGAGUGCCCGAUCCGGCUCCCUCCGCACCGGGCGACCGGCAAAGAGCAUUUCCAGAUUUUUUUAGUAAAAAAAAUUCCGGAGAAAAGGAAAUAUUUUAUUAAUUACCGUCAUUAACCUAAACUAAUUGAGUUAGUUACGUCCUCUGGAAUCGCUAAUCGAGUUAAAUGGAGUCGCGCGCUAGCGGCGCGUACGCGCGCGUUAGCUUUCCGAAUCUGGCCUGGUGUAUGGAGUCCCGAACAGGCCCAUAAAUUGGCGUUCGGAGCCCAAAACCUCUCGCAUUUCCAGCCCAUCAAGUCGCUUCGUCCUGGGCUUAGCCCACCACGUCUCUUUCUCAGUUUCUCGGCCCGUCCGCCGUUGGUUGGCUGCUUCCGCUCUCCUCCAAUCCAAGGCUCCCCGCGUCCCCGCCCUUCUCCUCCCGCGCCGCCGUUCGCGCGCGAGAAAACGAGGCGGCGGCGAUAUCGGAUGGAUGAUGCCACUGCCCUCUCUCUCUCUCUCUCUCGCCUUCGCGCGCGCGUGCUAACUCACAGCAUUGGUAAGUGCGAGGUGAUGGUGCCAUUGCUGCUCGUGCGGGAUGCGGUCUCGUGGUCACGAGGUUCCCUAUGAUGCCCGCGACGUGUUCGACGGUUUGCGCGAGCGAGGGAGGCGCGGCGGUGGUUUUGGGCUGAGCGUUUGGUGCCUCUCGUUUUCUGAUUCCCUGUCGGUCCCUACUUCAUUUCGGCAUGGGAUGGAGACUCGGGCCGUGCUGGGGUUUGGUGCUAUACUGCUAUCGUCCAGGGAGCUAAAACAGGAAACGGGUUGAUUCCCCCGGGCUCGAAUUCAGAACAUCAAUGCUUUGCUGGCUGAUUGCUGCCUGCUCUUAUCAAUCAUCCGCUUGCAGGACUGUAGGCUGUGGUGAUUUUAGUGGUUCUCCAUCCCAGUAAAAUUUGCAAAUUUCUGGAUGUUGCACAUCUCCUGAUCUGCAAGAAUAUUACCUUCUUCAAGGAGAAUAAACUUAUGCUGUGAGAAUUGUUUUAUCACCCUAUGGCCUCUGUAGACUCUAUACGGGGUGAAUAUCAGUUAGGUCUUUUUCAUGGAACCUGUGACCAUGUGAUUUCAAAAUCUGUUCACGUUGUUGAAUUAGUAUAUAGGGAAAGAAUUUGUGUUGUCAGCUAAUGGUUGUGCCUUUUGGUUCUGCUUCUGGGAUCUUCAUUUUGAUUUUGUGACAAUCUGGUUUGCAUUUUUUUCCCCCUGGAAUUACACCAAGAAAAAGCAUUCUUUGCAGCUGAGAUUUGAUAUGUAUCUCCGGCAUGUACCCUUCAGUAAACAAAGUAUUUGAAAUACGAUAGGAAUUAGUAGUGUCGGAAAUGCAAAGCUGUACUUCUUUUGCUAUUUGCCUGACGUUUUGCUUGUUUUGAGCUUUCCUUACCUUUUGCUAAUCUGUUUACCUUUACUAUGUUUCAGGGACAGGAGAUGAUUCUAGGGCCAAACAUGCAGCUGUGGCAUCUGGAAGCACCACAAGUUAUGUAGAUUCCAUCUUCUCACCGCUGUUGCUGCAAAUAAUCUUUGUUAACUAAUGGUACCCAGAUUGCUUACUUUGGACCUAUGCUUCUCCUUUAUGUUCCUUCCUGCAACAAACUGCCGACAUACUAUUUAUACUAGGUUUGCUGUUAGUGCAGUGAAAUUUGGAUAUAUCUAUAUGUCUAGAGAUUUCCUAUCCAUGUGACCUGAUUGUACAAUGCUGUUUCUUUGGUGGAAUUUAGUAUUUGCAUAUUAACUUCUUUAGUUUGCUCCCUGUAUGCCCAUAUGGUUAAGUUGAUUAUCAGCUCCGUUUUUUGCCAAUUGAUAAUCUGACAGGUACAUUAGUUCUGAAGCUUCCGAGUUCUGGAGACAUGCAAUUGAUGUCAAUUGUUCUCAGGCAUCUCUAUCUUUUAACUUGGAGUAUAUCUAUAAUACAUACAAAAUUAUCCAUGUUUCUAAAUUGGCUGCAACAGCUAACCUCAGCAAUCACAUUGAUUAGCUACCUUCUAUAUAUCUAGUUUGUAGUACCUAAAGACUAAACUCUCUAAUGGUCCACCUAGAUUGUUCCCAGAUAGCACCUAAUAUCUAUGAGCUGUGGCAUAAAAUAUUCCAGUUACUGCUGGACCCUGCAUUUUGCUGAUAGGUACAAAAAGCUAUUUUCCGCUGCAUUUUUUUUAAUGAUUUUGCAAUUUAGGACAUACUUGAUAGUAUUAUUAUUCCGUGCUAUCCUAUGAACUGGCUUGCCAUUAACUUCAUACAUCUCUCUGGUUUUAUUCUAAGAUCAUACUUAGUAUGUGUCAACCCCCAUAGUAUUAAUAUUCCCAGCAUAGAAAUGCUGCUAAGUUUCUGUCUUGUAUUGAACAGCAUAUUCUUUCUUAUAUUGAAUUAUCUGCACUGAAUAUUUGGAGCCUUUUCUUGCUGUUGACUAGUUGGAGUAAUAGUUGCAUUUCCAAUGAUUUUUGUCCCAAAGACAGGCUAGCAUGAAGCUGUAGCUGGAGUUUUUCCUGCGCUUUGCCUGCCACCACUGAGCUUAAAACAUGGACAACAUCAUUAAAUCAAAUCCUUAAGAUUCUCCAAGGAAGCGAGGAUUAGUAGCAACAGCUGAGAUCCCACAUUCCCACUAUUUACUAGGAUAAUGAUAAGUACUAGUACUAUAUAACACAUUACAAUUCACAUUCGUCCAUUUUCUGUACAGCCUGUUAGUCUUCUCAAAGGAUUUUUGUUCCCUAAUUACCCUUACAUUUGUUCUUGCACAUACAAUAUUUCUGUUUUCUUGAUUCAUGUACCUCUGAAUCAUUUUCAUCUUUAUUUCAGGUCUUGUAAGCAAGUCAUGGCAGGUACGGUGGCACUAAUAUGUUUGUCCCAAUAAGUCAAUGCUCCCGUGCCAUGGAUUCUUAUAUGGGGGCCAUAUUCUAUUAGCCCUUCAAACAUACUAGUAGGGAAAAACUCAAUGAUUUGGCUCUGAAAUGUCAAAAGGAACCCCAGAAGUGCUAAUUUGAUUUACGCCGUCAAAAACGAAUUCAGGUAUAACUUUCAACACCAUAAUCAUUCUAGCUAUUAUGAAAACACAAGCCAUGUGCAGAAGUUGUGAGGCACAUAAUCUGAACAUCAAUUUUCAUUCAGACAAUGAACAGGCAGAUGAAAACGAGCCAACAAUGUUUCUUUAGAGAAGAAACAAAUUACUUGUUUAUCACUCGAUCGGUUAGAUGAAAACUCGCUAUUCCCUACAGAAGAAACUAAAUGCUUUACAGUGCUGCUCUAUCUUUUGUUUCAGUCACAAGUCAGAAUAUUAAUCAGUCUAGGCCACUUAAAAUUCGAUGUAAACGUUGCAAAUAUAGUACCGAUAAAAUAAGCAAAUUAUGUCUAUGUGAAGUCGUUUUAGCAACCAUGACAGAUCCCUUUCAUGUCUUAUUUGUUUGCAUGCAUCUCUUUCAAGUUUACUAUUGAAAUGUUCUCUCUUUUUAGGUGCAAUUUGUACCUCCAUAGUCCAUACUCCAGGACAGAUUCUAAAUGUUGUACAUUUGCCUUCUCAGUACUCAUUCAAGGGACAGGUUUUGUUUUCUAUUUCUCACUUUUCCUUUUCUUCCAGAGGAAUGUCUGUUUGCCAGAGGGCAUGCAGAAAACCAGGAGAUGUGGUGCCAUGCUGCCAUGCAAAGAAGAAGUUUUUGUCAACCACAACACAUGGGCACCAAUCAAUCAUCCAUUAGAGGUGUGGUUAGUACUACUCUACUGCUCAUCAGCAUGUCAGCCAUCCUGUCUCUACGAUUAAUCUUGUAUAGGUAAUUAGGCUACAUACUUAUAGCACCCUGUGUCAUGUGGUCAUCACCCAAAAUGCCGUAGCUGAUACGUUGUUGAUGGGGAUUGGGCCACUGUGUUAUGCUCCCAUGACCUGAAAUUAAUUAUCAGUUCGCUGAAAAUCUGAAACCGGUGCUUGUAAUCUAGUUAGACCAAGCAAAAUGCAUGCCACUUGUUAUUAUAAUGAAGUGGCUUUGAUACCAUCAAUUAACUACACUUUCAAAGCGAGGUUACUAAACUAUAUUGAUCUUCUUCUUAAUCCAUAGGAAAUUAAAAAGGCUCAAGUUUGUGUCAAAAGAUCAAAACAGUGGACAUAAAUCUAUCACUCCUCCCCAUACACACAACACGUUUUGGUCUGCACGUUGUCGACCGUGGCCCGAUCAAGUACUGAUCAGCAAGCAAAGAUUUUUUGAGAGCUAAUUAAUCAUGGUGUCUUAACUAGUACUGAUAUCCAUCUUUGAAAACCUAGUUAGGCUGUGAUCGAAUGCAAUUAGGCUUUAAUUAAUUAAGCUGUCAUAUGGUACGGAAUUUCCCGGACUGUUUCUUCGGCGCGAGCACAUACAUAUACAAGUUUGAUAUCUCAAUGAUUGCUCAUUGCUGCAGCGUAUUGCAAGGAAUACUAUAUACUUAUAUGGCUCUCACGACGUGCGGCGCACUAAUGAUGGAUUCGGUGCGUGCGUACGUGUGCGUGCGUGCGUACGUCCGUCAGUAACGGUAACAACGGCCGGGGACCAAACCAACAGAGAGAGAGAGACCAACUGCUGCAGAGACCGGUGUCGCCAUGUUCAUCAUCAUCAAUUCAUCAUGCCUACCUUUGCUUGCAAUUUCAACGCAGCGAUUGGUGCAGGCAUAUGCUUUUUCCUCAGAAAGUUUGCUGCGAGCUUGACAAUGUAUGUCCAUCCUGAACUACCUGCAGGUAAACACAUCUAUAUCCUCCCCCUCAAUUUUGUGGAAAUUAUUACCGAAAUCCUUCUGUUUUUAUUUGAUGUUUAAAAUUGAACUAACCAACGUCAUGUUGAUAAAAAUAGAGGGAGUACGAUUAAUUUAAGGCUCUUGAGAAGGUACAGAGAGACUGUAUUUUUUUAAAAGAAACUUCUCUUACGUAGUUAGAUAUGAGGGUAAUAACAAGGGAAUUGAGAAUUAACAGGUUUCUGCCAGUAAUAUAUUGACAAUCUAAGUGUCUAUUCUUUUGAGCUAAAUGCUGAGUGACCGAUUGGUUCGUGACAAUUAUCCAAGGAUACAACCGAAUGAAUUAACUAUUAUAAAGUUGAAACGAUUUUCUAAGAGAUUCAUAUAUAUAAAUCUUUUUAAUAAAAGCCGCAUCAUUUGGUAGUUUAGGAAGCAUGCAUUUAUCCGUUAAAUAUAAUGCAAGGAAUACAAGUAAUCAUCUUGUGGUGAGUAGAGCCUAGCUAGCUAGACUAUGUCACAUGGAUUCAGAUGAGCAAGGGGAUGCGGCUGGAGUCCUGCGUAUACACUAUAACAAAAAAAAAAAAGGAGGAGGCGUGAUUGAUUAGGUCGGGCAACUUCUGAAACCAAGGCAAAAAUAUUCUCCGUUUUCCUUUUUUUUAAAAAAAAAAAUUGUAACGGAAACAGUGCCCAUAUACUGUUGAUCUUAACACCCCAACCACCUUACUCUUUCUUUUCUCCUCCCUCCUCGUGAUGUCAUUCAGCUUCACACCUCUCUCUUCUCUUUCUCUCUCUCUCUCCUGUUUAUAUAUAUAGAGAGCCAGGCUGUAUGCAUCUUUGCAAAGCCAUCCAUUAAUUCAUCCAUUCGAUCAUUGGGUACAACACAAGCAUAGAAGCUUGUACGAUUAAGUUGAUCAGCUUUAGCUAUCACCACCUUUGCUUGUAACAUCAAAAGCAUGGAGGAUUUAGUUAGUGGCUCAUCUGUGAUGAGGAGUGCCAUAAUUAGCUGCAGUAGUACUAGUGAAGAUCAGCAAGCUGCUGCUGCUGCUCAAGCUCAGCCGGAGGAGAGCACCUGGACCGACUACUUUGUGGAUUUCAUGAUGUCCGAGGAGGAGAAGAAGAGUCAAGAAGAUCAUGGUGCUUCUUCAUACUGCUCCCAUGGCGGAGAUGGCGUCUAUGGCGAUUGCAGUGAUCAGAAGGAGCUGGAGGAGGAGGAAGGAGAGGAAGAUUCUAUGAUCUCCGACGCCGCGUCUUGCGCUCCCGCGGCUGCGGCGUUGCCUGAUAGGUACAAGGAGUUGAAGAAGCUCAAGAAGAAGGUCUUCAAGGCCCUGGAUCAUGAUGAUUCCCUGGAGGAUACCGCAAGCUCUCCAGUAAAUAGCCCUAAGGUAGUUACAGCUAGCUUAAUUCCCUAUAUAUUUUUGUUGCUAUGAAGGCUUAAAGCUAGAGAGUCUUUGUUUUUUUUUUAAAAAAGAAAUAAAGAAAAGAAAAAUUAGAGAUUACUAGCUAGUUGGUGUUGAUUUGCCUGUUUGAUUUGCAUCUUUCAGGUCAGUGCUUUGACACAGCUGGAAUUGAGCCCUAAAAGGAGGUGCAAUACCAGGGACCUAACCAAGGUAAUUAAUUAAGUUCAAUCAAUAAUCAGUUGGUGUUUUAUUGAAAAGAUACUAUUAUAAAUUGUCCAUCCAUUUUUUUCAGGUUUCUAGAAAAGUAGUAAAAAUAUUGUCUUGUUUUAACAUCCUGUCUCUUUUUUUUUUCCUUGAAGGAAGUUGGGAUUGGAGAUGAUCGUGGAAGAGAGGGGAUGGACUAUGCAGAUGCAAUGGUAGAGGGGGUGAGGUUUGUUGAUCAAAGUCAGAAGAGUGUAACUCCAUGUGGAGAGCUAAAGGAUAAGGGGCUUUGUUUGUUUCCUUUGUCCAUGUUGCUACACUACCAUGGAUGAAAAUUUGAGAACUUCAAUGUAGAGCACGUGUAGGGUUUAUGCCUUACAUGAAUGUGUGUGGGAUAAAUGACCAAAAAAUAUAGUGUGCUGAGAUUACUGUGGAUAUAUUUUUUGGGUGAAAAUAUAUGUGAAUAUAUAUUACCGCUCCUGCUCUCCUUGUUUCAUUUUUUUUUCCAUUUUGUUUUACUUACCACUAGUUAUGCUCUGUGCGUGCAGUUUAUUUUAUUAGAUAUCUAUAUGGAUGCUCCUAAAAGCAACAAUAUAUAUAGAUGGUUACAAAUGGUACAAAAUUGUCAUGGUUAUUUACAUGGUGUUUUGAGAUGUUGUGCAGUACAAAUUAAUGAAUUAAGGUGAGUUGCUCUCCUGCUGUCCUGCACAUAUAUAGCUAUACAGGUAAGUUCCAACGAUUGAUCAGAGGCCAUGUAACUUAGUAAGACAUUAGUAUUAAUUAGUAUAUUCACAAUUCACAAAUGAGUGAAUGACUAACACAUGAGUUACAGAACAUGUCAAUGCUCUACCUUUACAUGCAUGUCUCUCACUUUUUGUUCGAUGUAAAAUAAGUGUUCCCAACCAGCCGAUGCCACUAGCUUAUCAGCAUGAUCAGAUGGGCUAUCUACCAACUCCUUUUAAUUACAUCAUGGAUGUACCUGUUAACUCAGUUACCUGAUAUGUAGCUAAUUAGCUAUAGCUAUUACUACCCACGAGUAGCUAAUUAAUUAGCAAAUGCAAUGCUAAAAAUUUAGGGUUAUCUUGAUGCUAAAAGAAUUUCAUUCUAAGGAGAUAAAGUGGAUAAACAUAAAGGCAGCAUAUAUGUGCAAUGACCAUGCUUGCAGCCCAUGAACAAGUAGUGGUUAGGGAGUAGCUUUCAUGAAGGGAGAAUAGUUAAGUGCUUGACUGUUGCCAAGAUUUGAAAGCUAAAGGACUUAUUAACAAACCAAUUAAAUUUUUAAGGGCUAGAUGACCUCCCCCUAAUUUGGCACCUUUAGCUUGUCCCUUCAUGCAUGUUAAAACAUUAUUUUCUUUCACCAUCUUUCGUAGCCUUAUCAAUCGAUCUUAGGAGUUAGGUUUGCAAGCAUGAAGUCUUGAGAGCUACACCUAUGUAUAGCCUUUUCGUUUGUACGUCUCAUGCAUGGUUCAUCUUGUUACUGUCUGAACACUUGACUACUGAUCCAAAUAACCAAUUGCCCGCUGUCUAGAUCAAAGAAAAGAACGAAUUCUACGUCGUCAACUACUGUGCGAUGUUAAUUAAUCUGAGAUUUCGACAUUGCUAAUAAAUGAAUGUGGGACAUCAUAUCGUGUACUUAAAAUGAAAAAAAAAAGGUUUUGAGAAAUAUAUUGACAUGCAAUUCUUUUGCGCAUUCGCGAAAAAUAAUGACUGAAAGUACAUGAUGUUAUUAUGGCAAAGUAAUUGCUCUAUCCUCAUCACGCUUGGAGGUCCCUCAAUAACGACAUGUUUUUUUUCUUUUGAUGUGUCUAUUGAUUAACAUGAAUUAUUCAAGAGCACGCAGCUGAAUUCAAUAUAUAGUUUCUGGCCGGUUAUCACUGUAGCUCAUUAUUCAUUCUUAAAAUAUAUAGCGAGAAAAUACAUGUAGUGGAAACCACAUGUGUAGUAGUGAAUCCUGGACGUAGGAUAAGAAAAUUGAUGCAUGCGAUUGUUCACGUCAUACUAAUUUACUUUUACUGGUCACAUAUAUUUUCCCUAGUGUAACCGGGCAACCGAACCUUUCAAAAAAAAUUUGCUGGGUAAGUUAUCCAGCAUAACUAAAUUUGUAUGUUUUUAACUGAACCUGUUGCCCCAUAAAGAUAUAUGAAGAGAUCAGAUUAAUUAGCAUCUUAAUCUAAAUGUUCUUCUGCAUUUUUCAUCUUAUGAGUUCUUAUAUAUGAACAGGAAAUAUAUUAAUUAGCUUCAGAACUUAAAAUUAGUAUUUUUAGAUGACAGUACUUCAAAGUUAAAAUUAGUUGAUACCCUUUCAUGUGUGCUACCAGUUUAUUUUGAUAGAAGCCUUUUGGUGGAGCUCCAGCUGCAAGAAUUCUUUGCACCGCACCAUCUUGUUCAUAUUUUAGAUCACGAAGAAUAGAUGCUUAAAUCAUUAUAUUUUAACCUAUAAACUCCAAAAUCUAGAGGUUUGAGGUUUGCCAAACAAGCCCUAAGAAUAGUACAUUGCACUUGUAGAUUUGGGCCAUAUAUGUUGGCCUGCAUGUUACUGAAGCUUCCAACCAAAAGGUGGCUAGCUCUGAAAAUAAAUAAUAAAUAAACAAAAGAGAUUAUCUUAAUCCCCAAUCCUUAUUAGGUACCAUCCUAAUCACUACUUAGACAGUGUCUUGUCCCUUAAAGAACAUCUUGAAGACUAAUUAAUCACUCUGGCCUGAAUCAUCAUCAGUUAUGUCGUAAUGCACCCUUCACAGAAAGUUAGAAACAAGUGGAACAAAGAUAGCCUCUUGAAUGUCCUUGAGGACUAGUGUUUGGAGAAGAUUUUUUUUUUUUUUGGGGGGGGGGGGGGUGGGAAUGGAAAAAAAAAUAUAAUGAACUCAAACUGAGAAAACUGUCAUGUGUCCAUGUGCACGGCAUUAAGGUUGUUGGCACAUAUGAGAAAAAAAAUUGAAAUAUGUUAUCUUAUCCACGUCUUGGCUGCCCGUGUAUCCAUGAUUUAUAUUCUCCGGCCGUCUGAAUUUAAAAUCGCAACAAGUUGGAAAUUAUUUUGCGGAAUGGUGCAAAACAUCAAAGAAUUUACAAGAAGUCAAUGUUCACCAAUAUUUUAUUUUAUAUUUCAGGGACAAUUAUCCCGUCGCAAGGAAGUGAAAUUAUGAUUCUUUUGUAUGUUGAUGUAAUCAUGUUACCGUCAAACAACUGAAGCUAUAUGACCUGCUACAGUGCUCCUCAGGUUUUCAGAUACCAAAACUAGAUUGAUUCCUGGGGUCUUGUUGGCCCUAGUUCUCAGCUUUAAUUUGAGGAGAGGAACAACACAAAAAGUAGACUGUUUUCUGCCAAAACAUUGAAAAGACAAUUCAUGUUUCUUUUUGCCUUUUCCCCAUAACUACUUAUUGAUCAACGCAAAUCUUCUGUAUUAAAUUAUCUGUAAAUAAUUGAAUCACAACUUUAGAUAUACUCCCUCCAUAAAAAAAAAUCCAAUCCUAACUAUGAAUCUAGACAAGUGCUUAUCUAUGUUCAUAUCUAAAUUUAUAUUUUUAAACGGCUUCUCAAACUAACUUCCAAUAUGAAAUAUACAAAGUACAAAAUUUCAGUAGCUAGGCCGGUGCAGUUUUCCUCAUUACAUUACACUGUCCUGUCGAAGUGUCGAACCGUCUUUCAGAGGUUCAGUUGAUGGUGCAUGGAUCAACCACAAGUUGUUGCAUGUUUUUUCAUCCCCUUUUCUUUUCUUUUCUUUUUUCUUUUUCUUCAGAGAUGGCAACAGUUUGUUGUACUGACAAGAAGGUUUCCGUACGAGUGAUGGAUGCUUCACCUACCAAGAGAGAGAGAGCUAAUUGGUGAGUGACAAAGAACAUAAUAUGUUGGAGCUAGCUCACAUGCAUGCUGCCUUGGCUUGUUUCCUUUUCUUUUUGCAGGCUCGUUUUUUUUCUCUCCUAUCCAUACAGGAGGUUAGUACAGUUGGCCUGUUGGAUUGCUCCAUUUCUCAAACAAAUGCUGGAUUGUGCUCACUCACAAAUCAUGGCUCAUUAGAACAUACAUGUGAGAAUCUUGAGAUGUCGUGAUCACAUAAAGCUUCAUACCGUUGUUAGCUUCAGAGAGGGAACCAUGCAUCUUUUUUUUUCUUCAAAAAUACGCAAAAGAAUUAUGCAUCUUCAUAUUAAAAUUUUAAAGUUUUUCUUAAAAAAGAAAUUUUACAGUCAUUGAGAGAUACCAAAAGUUUUAGCGCAAAUUUGGUACCUACUAGUAUCUCCUUAAGGACUGCAAAAUCACUCUUUCGGAAAGGCUAUGCUCAUGAAAAUAAGAAAAACGCAUCACGUUACGUGCCAACACCACUACCACACCCUUACACACCCUUAUCUUGGUUUGAUCUAUGCAACAAAAUAGUAAGCUGCAUUAUUCAGAGUUCAGACACACACUGAUGAGAUGGGUCAAAUAAUCAAAUUUGAAUUCAGAGUUUGAUCUUUCUGUAAAAUAAUUUGUCAACUCAAAUGGUCUCUAUUCGUUCUUUAAAAGGUGUUCUCUCCUCAGCCUAAGAAUUUUAGAAGGUUGGUGCUCGAUCCUUGUAUACAGAUGAAUAGAUCGGCAAGUACAGAGUUGCAACUUGAGUAUAAUUUAAUCCCAGAUGUAGGCAUUUCAGCGUAUUCCAGCAACUGCAUUAUAUAUCUUGUUCUUUUCUUUUUGGAGCACUUGGUAGGUACUCAAUCGAUUUAUGGAGAAAAUACUGGAUUAAUUUGUUAAUUCUGGACAAACAAUAUAAUAUUCUGCAAGAUUUCAACAGAAAUUCUGUUAGUCGUCUAGAUAUAUAGCAUGACUAGAGAAAUCAAGAAAAGAUUGCAAGAUUCCAUAGGAAAUAUGAAAAAUGUCUGAACCAACUGCCAAGAUGGAGAGGUAUGGGAGGAACCACGAAAUCUUUGAUUGUGUUAUUUGUCUUUGUCCCAGUUACCCCGUAUCUUUGACAAGAUUGCAAUCCGUUUUUUUUUUUUGUCAUUUGUCAUCUGAUUCAAGGGAUGAUGGUUUUUUCACAUAGAAUACACGGCAAUCAUUGGAUAGAGCUGCCCACCACUACAAAAUCCACGACUUAGGUUUGCAUAGAAAAAUUACAAGGAAAAUGCAAACGCAUAUGCGCUGGUUAAACUAAGUAUUUAAGAAAUUAUUGGUAGUCAAAAUUAUAAAAAUUUAAUCAAAUUUUAUCUUAAACUUUAAAUAUGUGUGACCGGAGAAAAUAACUACUUCGUUUCAGGUUAUAAGAUGUUUUAACUUUAGUCAAAGUCAAACAGCUUUAAGUUUGACUAAGUUUAUAAAACAAAUAGUAAUAUUUUCAACCCAAGAUAAAUUUAUUAUGAAAAUAUAUUCAAUUAUUGAUUUGAUGAAACUAAUUUAGUAUUAUAAAUAUUACUAUAUUUGUCUAUAAACUUAGUCAAAUUUGAAACAGUUUGAUUUUGACCAAAGUCAAAACGUCGUAUAACCUGAAACGGAGGGAGUAUUAAUUAAGCCAUCAAAACUCACUCAGUCUCGAGCUUUGGCCCAAGGCUUGGACCAAACCAUAAUAUUUUGUGCUAUUUUUAUUUGCACCUAUACGGUGGAAAUAAGGUUUAACUCGUAGAAAAUGCUUAUUAUUUAGAGGCUUAUUGGCAAUCUAAUUUUGCUCACAGGCUCAAUCUUUUUUUAAAUAAACUCGCAUGCUCAAUCUAGUUUAUGGGAAGUUUGCUCGGAGAAACGCUCAGAUAUCUUCCGAGGCUAAUUAUUCACAUCUUUUUGGAAGUUUGCUUGGACUGAUAGGGAUUGGGCAUCUCAAAUUAAUGGGCCCUGACUGAAUCUAGGACUAUUGUACAGUAUACUAGUAGCCCUUAACUUAUGCCUUUAUGAAAGAAAAAAAAGGCAUACUACCUUGAGGGUAAAUGGUGCCGUGGUAGUUUAGGCUGCAUUGCGGAGGACACGGAAAACAAAGCACGUGAUUAUUAUAGUGAGAUUAAUUAAGUAUGAGAAAAAAACUUGAAAAACUGAUUAAUAUUAUUUUUAAAACAACUUUCAUAUAGAAAACUUUUAUAAAAAAUACACCGUUUAGCAGUUUGAAAAGGAGAAAAGUGAGUUGGGAAAGAGGGGUAAACAACACAGCCUUAGUAUAGGCAUAUGGAUUUCAGCUAAGGCCUUGUUUAGUUCCCAAGAAUUUUUGGAUUUAGUUGUCACAUCGGAUAUACGGACACACAUUUGAAGUAUUAAACGUAGUCUAAUAAUAAAAUAAAUUACAGAUUCCGCCAGAAAACUGCAAAACAAAUUUAUUAAGCCUAAUUAAUCCGCCAUUAGCAAAUAUUUACGGUAGCACCAUAUUGUUAAAUCAUGGCGUAAUUAGGCUUAAAAGAUUCGUCUCGCAAUUUACACGCAAACUGUGUAAUUAUUUUUUUUCUUUUGUCUAUAUUUAAUACUCCAUAUAUGUAUCCAAACAUUCGAUGUGAUGGGUAGAAAGUUUUUGUUUUUGAAAACUAAACAGAGCCUAAACAUGUGAAAAUUCUACCUUGAGGUCAGAUGAUGAGAUGAGCCCACAUUUAACUCGCCCGCGGUGGAUGGGAUUGCCAAAUUAACCAAGUUGGCCUAAAAACAUAUUACGAAACAAAGCUGGUGAAAGAUCUAUGGUGUUAACUAAAUCUGCGAGGCAGUUCCUAUAUGUAGUAAAAAAGAAAAGUUAGUUUUUCUAUUUAGUGUUUGGUGAUGUAUUAUGAAAGUACAUUGCAUAUAGCUUGUUAAUUCAACAUGGUGGACCGGCCGCUCAAUGCAAAUACUGGUGUUGAUGGGCCAUCUAGCUACAAUUUUCAUUCAUCUUAUCUUCACAUGGGCUGGCUGGGGUCUUGCCGUCUUGGACAUAGAUGUUUGAUGGGUUUACAUGUCACAUUGUUUAGAGAGAAGGCUAUAUAUUGUCACAGAAGCUUGUCUAUAGAUUCUCUUUCCUAUCAGGGGUUAACCUCAAGCUCCUAUACGCCAUUGAUCAGCAUGUAUGAACAGCUACGACGAAAGAGAGCCAUGAAGCAACAGGAAGUUUGGACAUUAUCUGAGUUCCAACCUACGGCUUCGGAACCCUUCCCUUUCCACACACAGAUCUCAACGACACAUCAGUAUUAUAUGAUUAAUUAAGUGUUAGCUUAAAAAGCUCGAAAAAUAAAUCAUUAUUAUUUUUUAAAGCAACUUUCGUAUGGAAAUUCUUUUACAAAUAUAUACUGUUUAGUAGUUUGGAAAGCAUAUACAUGGAAAAUAAAUAUUGGGAAAAUGGAGUAUAGAACAAAGAUCUAAACAAGGAGGAGGCAGAUCAAUAACAUUGUCAAUUGGUGGUUGAAACAGUUGACUGAAGAUGGAAGCCCCUUGAAGAGAAGGGCAUGGCACAUCUGCAAGAUUUCAGUAUGUUAAAGCGUUCGCGCCUUGUUCAUGAUCUGUGCACUUGUAGUCUUGUACUACUGUUGUACUUGCUUCAUCAGAUGCUGAACUAUAUAUUCUGAGUUUUAUGUAUGAUUCAGCUCAAAUUUGACCCAAGUUACACUUAAUGAAUCAAAUGAUUUAUAUAUUUAAAGAAAUAGUGAAUUCCUCUAAUUACCUAAGCAAACAUAUAUGGACACCAUAUGUUGUGGCUGUAAGCCUGUGUAAACCCUCUGAAGGGCAUAUCCGUUUGGGGACAAAACGAGCUAAGUGUUGGAAACUCAUGAAAAUCAUACCUAAAAGUUUUAUAAAUUUAUGAAAAAAACUACAUAUAGGUGUAGAUAUAAAAUACAUUUUCACAAUUCUCCAGUUCAAACUUAACUUUAUUUAGGUGUAACAAAAAAGACAAAUUUCAGGUGAAUAGUGUCCUCUUACUAUUAACCUGAAAUUUGUCUUUUUUUUCCUCUUAAACGAAGUUGAGUUUAGAGUUGAGAUUUGGUGAGAAUGUAUUUCAUAUCUACACCUAUCUCUAGUAUUUUUUUUCAUGAAUUUACGAAACUUUUUGAUAUGAUUUUCAUGAGUUUUCAACACUUAACUCGUUUUCAUGAAAAUAUGUCCUCUUUCGUUUUGGAGGAAAUUCAAAGGUUUUGGAUUCCUAAGGAUUAAUUCAUAUGAGUAUCAUUCGGUUAAUAAGAAUGUAGGUAUAGGAAACAAAGUUUUUUUUUACAAGUUAUAGAGAGAAAACAUAGACACUUUUUCAUCCACUCAAACCUUUUUGGAAAAUUCCUAUGGAUUGAAGUUUUCAUGCAUUCCUAUUCCUCCACUUUUACUAUUCCUAUAUGUUUAAAUUCCUCCAAAAUGAAUAGGCCCUAAGAUCAGUAGACGUCAUUGAAAUCCUAGAUUAAGUUUGUUUUUUUACUGUCCUUGUCUUUGCUCAGGUUGCAGUUUUCUUUUAAAAAACGAUGUCGGAAUUGGGAUUUCUUUUCUUGACACACAUUACAUUUAGGCGCAAAUACUCACUCUAUAAACAAACACGCUCUAUCCAUAUGAACACCUUUCAAGGUCUGAUCUGACAUAUUUAAAGUCAUUAUAAGUAUCUCGUCGUUGAUAGGUACAUCAUCUAUAAUUAAAGAAAAUAAUUAGUAAUAAAUACAAGUACCGGUGCUAAGUAACGUACUACUAGAAAUUGAUGUAUGAUUAAAGGAAUAUGUUCCAUAUAUGUAGGUACAACUGUGUUAGAGCUAGAGAUAUAGUACUAUCAAUAUUCAAUUCUUCCAAAAAAAUUUGCUUUUAUGCUAGCUGGACCCAACCAAGCAUUUCUAUCGCCUACUUUGAUUUUUGUCGAGCAACAACUGAUUUUUGACCUUAUUCGAUGGGGCUUGCAUAUGGAAGAAACCGUGUAUGCCAUAUUUUUUUAUAAGUAAAGCACACAACCUGUAAACCUAGAAAUAUAUCACUUAUAGAACCGGAUAUGUUAGGGUAGUUCCAACCCUCUAUUUCAGCUAGCUUACAUAGCAUUAAAUAUCGUGUGACAUAAGAAGAAAAACUAAGGUGGCAAGAGAGUUAAUAAGAAUAACGGCAAAAGAUAAAGAAACCAGCUCUAUGCAAGAAACAAGAAUUAACACAAGGAGCAAGGGAGAUGAGAUUAGAUAAGAAUUUAUUUUGAAGAAACCAUUUUGGGCAUACAAUUUUUAUACGUAGUACCUAUAUGAUAUAUGAUAUGGCGAGUAUGAUAAGUACCAUAUAGUUUCUAGGUCGGGAUUUUCCUUAUAUCCAUCGACUUUUAAAACCAAUUAUAAUACUUUCUUAAGAGCUAUUUAAUUUAGUCUUUGAUAACAAUCCGGCCCAGGUGGGGUCGGCCGAGACCCAAUAACUUAAGGUUACCCGGACCCCAACAGUUCUUAGGCACACCCACUCGGGGAACCCAAUUUCCCUAAAAGACUAGUCCAAUAGGGGAAUGGUGGCUCUCCCUUUUAAGGUGGCUUCUUCCUCCCAAACUAAGCAAGGUGGGAUUAUUCAAAGGCUCACAUGGUCGCUGCCCGAGCUAAGCAAGGUGGGCUCACACGGUCGCCGCCCGAGCUAAGCAAGGUGGGAUUAUUCAAAGGCUCACACGGUUGCCACCCGACUUUGGCGUCUUUGCCAGCGGGUAAUAGUGGAGGAUGUCCUCAUCAUUCCCACCCUCUUAACAAGGGCCCAGCUCUGAUACCAAAUGAUAACAAUCCGGCCCAGGUGGGGUCGGCCGAGGCCUAAUAACUUAAGGUUGCCGUAUCAAAUGAUAACAAUCCAGCUCAGGUGGGGUCGGCCAAGGCCUAAUAACUUAAGGUUGCCCGGACCCCAACAGUUCUUAGGCACACCCACUCGGGGAAAGGCCUAAUCUCUCUAAAAGACUAGUCCAAUAAGGGAAGGGUGGCUCUCCCUUUUAAGGUGGCUUCUUCCUCCCAAGCUAAGCAAGGUGGGAUUAUUCAAAGGCUCACACGGUCGCCGCCCGACUUUGGCGUCUUUGCCAGCGGGUAAUAGUGGAGGAUGUCCUCAUCAGUCUUCAUGUUGUAGCAUAUAUUGUUGCCGCACCGAAAAUUUGUUUUAAACAUACUUAAAUCAUCUAGUUAGCAUUUUAAACCAUAAAAGUCAAAAGGACAUGCUGGUAUUUGGAUGGCAAAAUCACCAUUAAUAAAUGGUUGGUGGUGUUUGAACUUGUUUUGAUAUUUCUUCCAUAAAAAAAUACCUCUCAUGCUUUGAUCUCAACCAUCCAUUUGUCAUAUGCAUUUACAAUCCACUAAGAAUAGUUAUUGCUAUAAAGCUUAAUGUGCAUUGAACUAUAACACAUAGUCAUUGGAUCCCUCUCAUGUUUGAUACAUAAAAAAUCUAAGGGCAUAUUUGGGGGAGCUUAAGAUUCUGAGAAGCAACUGGUUGGUAGCCAGCUUCUGAGAAUCUGGAAAAGCUGGGUUUCCCAGCUUCUGACUUAUAGUUCAUCUUCUGGAUUCUACAACUACAGCUUCUUAGAAUCUGGACCAAAAGCUGUACUGUUUGGGGGAGCUUAUGAUUCUGGGAGAAGCUGCAGCAGAUAGAAGCUCCCCCAAACAGGCCUUAAGUGUUAUGUAGUAUUCCCCCGUCCCUAAAUAUAAGGGAUUUUGGUUGGAUGUGACGCAUCCUAAUACUACGAAUCUGGACAUAGAGUAUAUCCAGAUUCGUAGUACUAGAAUACACCACAUCCAACUAAAAUCCCUUAUAAUUAAGGAUGGAUGGAGUAUUGUAUUUUCACAUCAACUACUAUAGAACAAAUAUAGAUUAUUUAGAUAUCUAUAUCUAUAUAUCCUACUAUAGUUGGAACCAUAAACUUGACAUGCAUUGAGCCAUGUCAUCUAGAUAGGGAUGCAAGCGGGGCGGGCAAGCGGGUUUUUUUUUCCCGCUUAUCCCACUUCUAGUUCAUUUUUCUUCUAAAUUUUGUACUAUGAUGUAAAAAAUACACUAGCAAGCGGGUUUUUAUGCGGGUAGCGGGACUACCCACUUGCAUCCCUACAUCUAGAAAAUAGUAGCUUUUUGAUCCAUCUCAUGCUUUCAUCUCAACCAUCCAUAUGCCAUAUGCAUUUACAAUCCACUAAAUAUAGUUAAUUGUUAUAAAAUUUAAUGUACAUUGAACCAUGACAUCUAGAAAAGUAAUAACCAUUGGAUUCCUCUCAUGAUUGAUACAUAACCAUUCAGGUGCCAUAUACAGUUGCAAAUUUUCUUUAAAGGGCCAUCAAUAGAAUAUCAUUUUUUAGUUUAAAAGUAAAGGUGGUAUAUACGCGUAAAUUUGCGUUGCCUUGAAAGUAACAUAUUGUUGUGAACUUAAUAUUGGUUUUGUAAACUUAAUUUAGCAUAAAUUGAUAGUUUAAAAGUUUAGUAAAAUUUCACUUUGGGUCACCUUUUAUUACCGGUAUUUCUCUUUGGAUCACUAUUUAACCAAUGUUUUCACUUUGGAUCGAGUAAUAUUACUUUUGCUGCAUUUUGGAUUGCCCUUACUCUCUUUCAAGCAUACGAAUGAUUUUGAGUACGCCAACUCUGAUUCGUCAGUGAACUCCCACCGCUUUAUAUAGACAAUUUAUUUGACAAAUGACAAAUUUAAUGUAGAUGGAUAAAAGAGUUGAUGGUGAUCCAAAGUGACACAAAGUAAGAUUACCCGGUUUAAAGUGAAAACAUUAGUUAAAGAGUAAUGUAAAGUGAAACAAUCGUAAUAAAAGGUGGUCCAAAGUGAAACUUAUUUAGUGAAUAUUAUCCUGCACUUGAGAUUAAAAAGUGUCAUGCAGGGAAAACACUAGUUAUAUGGUGAUAGAGUCGUAGGCGUAUGACUCCACCAUUCACCAGGGUUCAAAAUCUUGAUACCACGAAUAUUAUAUUUUGCCUACACAUAUAGGUGAACUUUCAACAAAAUUUUAGUGAGAUGAGUGAUGUGCCAUUGAUUUUUGUCUCUUUUUUUAGAAGUACAAACUCAGGCGCUCACAUAAUGCGUGAGCGUGUGUGAGUAUGGUGUUACAUGUUUAAUAGUGUGUGUGGGUGUGUGUCUAAUGUGUAAUUGAAUAAAAAAAAUCAUACAAGUCAUAUGUUUUCUAAUUUAAUGAGUUGUUACAUAUCCAAUUGGCAUGUAGGACCAAAAUAUCAUCAAUUUCAAUGCUACAGAAAAAUAAUUUUUUAAAAAAGAUGCCGCUGCAAAAUCAUCAUCAUUUACUUAUUUUGUCACCACAUCACUCUAAAUCAAUUAGAUUACUCUUAUCCUAUGGCCUUAUCCAAAAUACUCCAAUUUACCUAUCCUAAAAUCGGUCAUAAGGAUUCUAACGGAUCAACCCAUGAAUCUAUUUGUAGGCAAAAUUAGUUUGUUAAACCGUGGAUUGACUCAUGACUUAUCUACUAAUUCAAGCUAUAAAUAGAUUUAUGGAUUGAUCCACUUACAUUUUUAAGGCGUGGAAAGCGGCAAGGGAAUUCAUAGGUUAUCAACUAGUUUCGCGGAUGGACCCGUUUGUAUACGGCCCUAUUCCAAUCAAAAAAAAAGAAAAAAAAAGAAAAGAAAACAAAAGAACACCGACGCGGGCAGCAAUUGCAGUUGCAGUUACAACCGGCAAAUCUCUCGCGACCCUGCACCGUAGCAGCGUCGACGCGAGGCGGACAGCCUCUUCUUCCUCCUCCCUUUCCACCCCCCACAGAGAUCUCGCCUCUCUCCUCCUCCCUUUCCCUCUCCUUCCUUCCAGAUCUCUCCACGCGCCGCCCCGAUCUCUUCCCCCCACCCCCACCUCGUCACCGGCGGGGAGGAGGGCCCGGCCGCCGGCAGCCAUGAUCUCCUCCAGUAAGCUCAAGUCCGUCGACUUCUACAGGUCCCCUCCACUCCCGAUCUCUCUCUCUCUCUCCCUCCAUUGCUUGCUAUGGUACUCCCUGUGCGCGCGCGCGCGGGGGGGAUUUCGACGCGGUCCUCGGCUGGGGGUGCUGGUCCGGGUUCGGAUUGGGUGAAUUCUCUUGCCUGGCUGUUCUGGCGAUUGCAGUAGAUGGUUUGUGAUGGUUCGUUGAUGCACCGAGAAAAUCGGGGUUGCGUGGGCGUAUGUGGUGGUAUUGACCAUUCGUGCGGUCGUUGCGAGUAGUGUAAUGUCUGGUGUAUUUUCUACUGAGAUGGGUAAUUUGGUUGAUGCGCUUUUUCUUUUCGUGCUUGCAGGAAAAUUCCUAGGGAUUUGACCGAGGCAUCACUAUCUGGGGCUGGAUUGUCCAUUGUAGCAGCACUAGCUAUGGUGUUUUUGUUUGGAAUGGUCAGUUUUCGUUGGAUUAGCGAUUGCACUGUUAUUUUUAGAUUUCAUUUUUUCACUCUGGUUCCAGUCUUUAGGGAAACAAACAAAAAAUGGUUGGACUGUUCUUCUGUUCCAUUUGGUGAUUGUAGACUGAAAUUUGGUACAGAGCCAUACUAAAAUGAUAGAGCAUUUAUUUAUUUAUAUGCAGAUUAGUUGUCUUCUACCAUUCCAACUGCUGUAGUGUAGCUAAUCGCUAUCGCCGGAUCAAUGUAGAGUCUCGAUUUGCUUGUUUCAUUUGAUGAUUGAGAAUAGCUCGUUUUUCCUGAUAUCUGUUUCAAUUGACUAUUAGAGCUUCAUGAUAGGCUAGAUUCUUAACUGAACCUAUUUUGGUUGAAUAUUUUUGACCGAAUUAUCAAUUGGUCCAUCCAACCUUGAAAGUGGCAGUUAAGUAAUGUAUAUGCCCAAGUAUAUUGUAAUUACUCCGGAACAUAUGCAUAAUUUUGGCUGUUGCUUGUUAAGGCUUGCAAUGUGCUAUACUUUUCACUAUGCUGAGCUGAUUCCUUAAUCAAGCUUUAGACUAGUUUAAAGGUUCAUUUCAACUGAAAAGCUAAAUCUGUUCAAUUGUUAUUGCAGGAACUGAGUAAUUACUUAGCAGUCAAUACUAGCACAUCUGUGAUUGUUGAUAGGAGUUCAGAUGGGGAGUUCUUACGGAUAGAUUUUAACUUAAGGUAAAUUCUAUGGCACAUGCUGCACAUCUCAACAAGUAAUAAGGUUAGAAUACAAAAUGAGAACCUUCAUGAUCACAUAGAUAAUACUGCUAUCAUUAUGGUUCAUAGAACUAAUGUCUUCCUAAUUCUCUAAUCUGCUGAUAGUAAUUUUAUCCCUAUUGUGAUUAAUUUUAAUGGAAUACUAUAUAUGCAACAGCAAAGCACAGCGUUAAUUAAUGUCAGGCACUCAGUACAUUCUUUUCAAUGUAUUUGUACUCAUUUGGUGCAUUGUGGAAAAAAACAUAUGAUUCUCAGUUAAUUCAUUUAUCUUCAAAGGUCACCUAAUUACCAGAUCCAACCAUUUGUAGUAAUAUGUUUGUAGAAUAAUUCUGAUGUUGUUCUUUUACUCAACACUUUCAACCCUUGGUCUAUAUGAACCUGAGAGCCAUUGUUUAUACUUGAAAUUGAUGCUUUCCAGCAAACAAGGACUAGUCAGGCACUGCUCAUUUAUUUGUAUGUGAUAAUGCAUAGGAGGGUAUCUACAUUAGUCUAGCUGGUUGCCCAUUGUUUUCUAUGGAAUGACAUCAGCAAAGCUGGACUCAACUUUUCCUUGUUUUUCCAGUAGAUGCUCACGAUCUGGUUCUGUGAUUUACAGCUUUCCUGCACUUUCAUGCGAAUUUGCAUCAGUUGAUGUCAGUGAUGUUCUGGGAACAGUAAGAUUCUAACUUGACCUCAUGUACUCUGUUUUUGUUCAUCUGCCGUCUAGAAUGAGGAUAUCAUUGAAGGACAUGAAGCUCAUCUUGCGCGUUCCAUAAAAACUAUUGUUGACUUUAUUUUCUUGUUAACUUGCCAUUACAAAUAACUUUCCACUAGCUUUUAAAAGUACUCCCUCCGUUUCACAAUGUAAGUCAUUCUAUCAUUUCCCAUAUUCAUAUUGAUGUUAAUGAAUCUAGACAUAUAUAUCUAUCUAGAUUCAUUAACAACAAUAUGAAUGUGGAAAAUGCUAGAAUGACUUACAUUGUGAAACGGAGGAAGUAAGCUCUACAUGUAUAUUUUACACCAAUGUUAAAAAUACGAAAUAUGACAAUUUAUCAGUUUUUGUAAAGUUCUGUGCAUGUCAAAAGAAUGAAACCUAUCCUAAAUUCCUAACUAACUUUCUAUCUAUAAGCAUUUCUUGAUCAUAUCUUGCCUUUUGUAGCUCGAGUUUUUCUCCAUGCUGGUUUAACCUUAAAGUUUCUGUUCAAAACACAUGCAGAACAGAUUGAACAUAACGAAAACUGUUCGCAAAUAUUCAAUUGAUCGGAAUUUAGUGCCUACUGGAUCCGAGUUCCACCCAGGACCUAUUCCUACGGUCAGCAAACAUGGAGAUGAUGUUGAAGAAAACCAUGAUGAUGGUUCAGUUCCCUUGUCCUCUCGCAAUUUUGAUAGCUAUUCACACCAGUAAGUAUUCAAAUAUGUAUUUCAAUAUCCACCUAUCCGUAACACAUAACAUAUAGCAUUUUAGCAAUUGUGCGUUUCAAUACCAUAUCAACGGUCAACCUAUUAUUCAUGUAUGCUGUCUUCUUUCUCCUUCACAUUCAUGGAGAAAUGUACUUUAUAUUCAUAGCUCCAAUCACUUCAACCAGAUUGUCUAUGGCAAAUUGGUGAUAAUCUUCACUUUUACCUGCCUCAAGUAUUUUUCCUUGAAGUGCCGUUCGGUAUAUCUAGUUAAUCCCUCUUGUAUUGUUUCGGAGCCCAAAUAUUGUUUCCACUGAUUAUUAUCAUGCACUUCCUUUUCAGGUAUCCUGUUUUGGUUGUUAAUUUUUAUGCCCCCUGGUGUUACUGGAGCAAUCGAUUGGUUAGAAUUCAUCUUGUUCCUUUGCAUUUAGUGAUUUUCUAGUAUAUGCUACUCUAUCUGUAAGGAAAUGAUUAGUAAAUUAUUGCUGGUAAAGUAAUGUAAGUAUGGCACGGCUUAUUGAACUAACAAAUGGAGACAUUUCUAAUUACUUGAUCUUCCUCCAGAAACCUUCGUGGGAGAAGACUGCAAAAAUAAUGAGGGAGAGGUACAUACUGUUUCUCUUUGUUUGUGUUUUGUGGUUUUAAUGUGCUGUUUAAUCUAUACCAUGUUGUUUUUUUUUUCUGCAGAUAUGAUCCUGAAAUGGAUGGCAGAAUCAUUCUUGCCAAGGUUGACUGCACUGAAGAAAUUGACUUGUGUAGGAGGUUCGUCUGUACUUAAUUAUUAUUCAUAUCCAAAACAAGGACAAAGCAUAUUUAGGCUGCAACAUGAACUUUACAAAUCCCUUUUUGAUCCAUGUACCAAGAGAAAUUUAGUUAAUUAGUUUUUAGAGUAAAGUCCAUCACCGGUCCCUAAACUUGUACCGCUGUGUCAUCCCGGUCCCUAAACUCGCAAAUCGAUCAUUCAGGUCCUUAAACUUGUUCGACUGUAUCAUCCCGGUCCCUAAACUUGCAGAUCACUCGUUUAGGUCCUCCAACUUGUUCAGUUGUGUCACCCCGGUCCCUAAACAGGACGGUCUAAAAACUUUAUACCAAAAAAUAAUUCAUAACUUUUUCAUGUGAACUCUAAUAAAGACAAACUUUAUAUCAAAAUUGUAGCCCUCGACGCGACCUACAACUUUGUAGUUGAAAAUUUUUUGAAUUAAAACUGUUUAGGGUCCCAAAAUAUUGUUGCAUGUUUAUAGAUUUUGUAAUUUUAAUUUUAAAAUUACAUUUUGGGACAAAAAAUGACUUAAAAUAAAAAAAUUAUCAACUACAAAGUUGUAGAUCGCGUCGAGGGCUACAAGUUUGAUAUAAAGUUUGUUUUCAUUAGAGUUCACAUGAAAAAGUUAUGAAUUAUUUUUAAAUAUAAAGUCUUUAGACCGUCCUAUUUGACCCAGAUGAUAUUCAAAUCCAAGUUUAGGGACUGGGGUGACACAACUGAACAAAUUGGAGGACCUAUACGAGUGAUCUACAAGUUUAGGGACCGGGAUGACACAGUCGAACAAGUUUGAGGACCUGAACGGUCGAUUUGCGAGUUUAGGGACCGGGAUGACACAACGAUACAAGUUUAGGGACCGGUGAUGGACUUUACUCUAGUUUUUAAUAUCCCCAACAAAGUGUCAUUAUUAUGCCACAUCUUUCAUGAGCUAUUCGUGUUUGUGUCCUCUUAUCCUGGUUCAGUGGAUGCUUAUGCCUUCUGGACUUGUUUGCAUUUGGAAUGAUUCAAAAGCCUUUAUUCCAUAGAUCACAACCCUAAUUGUUACUGACCAUGUUUUUAUAAGAAAAUGAGCCAUUCUGCUUCUGAUGACACUGGUUUCUGUGUAAUAGUGCCAUUGCCAUUGAUGCACAUAGUAACAUUUCAAGCUAUGCGCAUUGGAUGUGAACCACAACUCCUCAAUAGAAGCCUUAAAUUGUUCUCCCACUAGUUUUACCUAAUUAUAUGUGCUCUUGUUAUGCUUGUUCGUCAUUAAAUUAAGGACUACAGUUCAUUGUUUUAAUUUAUUAAAUGCAGGCACCAUAUACAAGGUUAUCCAUCCAUUCGCAUUUUCCGUAAAGGGAGUGAUCUUAAGUAAGUUCAAGUAAAUCUUACAGUCUUCCGGAUACUCUACUGAGAGUUAACCUGUGGCGCAAGACUUGUAUUAUUAUUAUUUUUUUGCUCAUGUUCCAGAAACAAACAAAUUGACAUUUGUGCAGGGAAAACCAGGGUCACCAUGAUCAUGAAUCAUACUACGGCGAUCGUGAUACUGAGAGUUUAGUAGCGGUAUGUAUAUUCUGUUACCCACUUAUUUUUCUUGAUGUACUGCAUGAUAUAUUCUUCACCCUAAGCUUUAGCUUACCUGUAAAAGGUAUUGUCCCCAUUUUCCUAGGGAGAACAAAAGGCUAACUAUCCUUUGCUUGUAAAUCACUGACUUUGUUCAUGGUCUUGUCAAAUUGUGGAUAAAAUUCCUGACAUUUUUUUGGGCCUCAGGCAAUGGAAACUUAUGUUGCAAACAUCCCAAAAGAUGCCCAUGUUCUAGCUUUGGAGGACAAAUCCAAUAAGACUGUUGAUCCUGCAAAACGCCCUGCUCCAUUGACCAGUGGAUGCAGAAUAGAAGGUUUUGUGCGGGUAAAAAAGGUAAAUGAACUUCUGAGGUGUAAUAGUUGUAGUGUUGAUGAUGAUCUCUAUCUGUGGUAUUUGAUUUCUGGUUCCUCUUUAUCAGGUCCCUGGGAGUGUUGUAAUCUCAGCUCGAUCUGGUUCCCACUCCUUUGAUCCAUCCCAGAUAAAUGUUUCCCACUAUGUAACACAGUUCUCUUUUGGCAAAAGGCUAUCGGCAAAGAUGUUUAAUGAACUGAAAAGACUAACUCCCUAUGUUGGUGGCCACCAUGAUAGAUUAGCUGGUCAAUCCUACAUUGUUAAGCAUGGUGAUGUCAAUGCCAACGUUACUGUAAGUCCCUAAAUUUUGCUUUGUUUUUGUUAUCAAGAUGAUUACAGCAGGCAUGCCUUCCAGCACUAAAUUUUCUGGUUUCUUAUGGAGUAACAUAGUUUUUGUUUUUUGUCAUUCUUAGAUUGAGCAUUACCUGCAAAUUGUGAAAACUGAGCUUGUUACACUGAGAUCAUCAAAGGAAUUGAAACUGGUUGAGGAGUAUGAAUACACAGCGCACAGCAGCUUGGUGCACAGCUUCUAUGUUCCUGUUGUGAAAUUCCAUUUUGAACCUUCUCCCAUGCAGGUUGGCAUCUCACCUUUUCUUCGUUUGGUUCAUAACUGAAAGAAAAACUAAUUCUUAUUUUAUCAUCACUUCCAAGGUCUUGGUAACUGAACUUCCAAAAUCCUUCUCCCAUUUCAUCACAAAUGUUUGUGCUAUCAUUGGAGGAGUUUUCACGGUGAGAGCACACACCCUUUUUUUAUCUUUUCCUUUUCUCUGAAUCCAUCAAGUGUACAUGGCUAAUGAAAUGACAUGCGAAUUCUAGGUUGCUGGAAUACUGGAUUCCAUCUUCCACAACACCUUGCGGCUGGUUAAGAAGGUCGAGCUUGGGAAGAACAUUUGAACAACAAGAUUAUUCUUCAGAAGCAGCCUCAAGCUUAGUGGUUGCACUAGUUUUAGUCAUUAUUUUGUUAUACCAGGGUAGGAAUUCUUAAUAUAUCAAGAUGUGAAAGAGGGUAGUGGGUUGGCAGAGGAGGAGAAGUUGGGGUCAUGAUAUAUAGUAAUAGUAGGUAGGGACCUCACUGUUUUGCUAAACGACUUCGUAAGAACAAUAAGACAGUGGAUCCUUGUUAACUAUACCCUACGUUAAUUCGUCCAGACUUGUGUUGUGUUACUCUGUUUACUGUUGUGAUGGCACCUGUCAUUACUCGUUACUCUGGAUUUGUCUUCCGUCUCAAAAUUCAUCUACGGUAACCAGUAUUUUUAAGUUCGCUUUUGUGGCGCGAUGUUACUGUCUGACAUCCUUUUUGUUCUAUGUUCUACAAACAAAGGGCUGGUUUAGAUGGCAAAAAUUUUUGUUUUGUGGUGUUACAUUAAAUAUACGGACACACAUUUGAAGGAUUAAACGUUGUCUAAUAACAAAACAAAUUACAUAUACGAAUUUAUUAAGCCUAAUUAAUUCGUCAUUAGCAAAUGUUUACUGUAACACCACAUUGUUAAAUCAUAGCGCAAUUAGACUUAAAAGAUUCGUCUCGCAAUUUACAUGCAAUCUGUUCAAUUGGUUUUUUUUGUUUACAUUUAAUACUUCAUGUAUGUGUCUAAACAUUCGAUGUGAUGGGUGAAAAGUUUUUCUUUUGGGAACUAAACAUGGCAAAACAAGCAAGUGCAAUACGCUGAAUUCUGGUAAUUGUUUCCCAGAUAUACAAGUACUGUACUCUGAAUCUAUUGAAUGUCAGCUCAAAAUUAUUCUUGGUAAGUAUUGCUUUGCUUUAAUGCUUGUGCCCCCAGUGGUAUACUGCUGUUUUUUCAAAUUGGAUCCAUGCCACUGCAGCCAAUUCAGAAGCAAAAGGCAAAUUACACCAUAAUGCGAUCAAUACCGUGCAUGGCGGUUUAUAUAUACAUACACACACACAUAAUCCGUGCUGUUGAUCGCAGUUGGGUAAAACGCCCUUGCUUACAAGCCAUUCUCCCAAGAUAUGCACACGAAUUUCCAAACAACCAAAUUGAAAACCCAGAAUCAAGUAAGCUCGAACGUUGCCCAGGACAUGCAAACAAAAACCAGACGAAAUAUAAACUCAAACCAUAAUCAUCAUCCUUCCCCCCCCCCCCCCCCCACACACACACACACUGACCAGCACAAGAAAACGUACAUAUAUACAUCAAGAUAAACAAAAUUCGAUCGAUCACGAGUUCUUCGAGCUGAUCAGCAAGAUCAUCAUCAUCAGCUAGAGCUAGCUAAAGUAGCUUAAUUAGCAUCGAUCGAUGACGGAGGGGAAGAAGACGAAGACGAAGCCGCACAGGAGGGCGUGCUGCCUGCUGCUCGCCGCCGUCGCCGUCCUCGGCGCGCUGGUGCUGGCGCUCUACCUCGUCUACCGCCCCCGUCCGCCGCGCGUGGUGGCCACGCCGGUGGACGUGACGAUCGAGCUCUUCAGCCUCGUGCCGCCGAAGCUGAAGGCCGCCGUCGGCGUGCACGUGGUGGUGACCAACCCGAGCAACUCGGCGUACCGGUACGGCGAGUCGCUGGCGUCGGUGACGUACCACGGCGAGCGCGUGGGCGCGUCGGUGGUGCCCCGCGGCGAGGUGGAGGCGAGGUCGACGCGGCUGAUCGAGCCGGCGACGGCGGUGGACGUGGUGCGCGUCGCCGAGAGCCCGCACUUCGCGCACGACGCGGCCGCCGGCGUGCUGCCGUUCGUGGCGGUGACCACCGUGGAGGGGAAGGCGCUGGUGCUCCGGUCGUUCGAGGUGAGCGUGUCCGUGGAGGUGGUGUGCUUCGUGCAGAUGUACGUGUUCCACGGCGAGAGCACCUCGCGCUGCGUCUCCACCGUCCGCACGGCCACGGAAACCGUCUCGUCGGAGCCAUCCGGCGCCCGUGGCGCACGUAACUCUGUUCCUAGCUAUGACUAGCUAAACUACACACGUACUACGUAGUAUUACACUACACUACACAUGUCACAAACUUUAUUAUUUAUUGGAGUACUUUUUACAGUGUUUCAUUUUGUAAUUUUUGAGUGUAUAUAUAUACAUAUAUGCAUUCCUUCAGUUCUCAUUUACUUUCUUCGUCCUAAAAUAUAAUACGAGAAUGAUACAGUCUGUUCAGAUUCAUACUAUCUACUUUCUCCGUCAUAUAAAAGACCAACCUGGUAUCGAAUGUGACACAUUCUAGUACUACGAAUCCGGACAUAUAUCUGUCUAGAUUCAUAGUACUAUAAUAUGUCACAUCCAGUACUAGAUUCGUUUUUUUAUGGGACAUGGAGUUAGUUUUAAAUCUCGUACCAUGUUCUUAUAUUCUAGAAUGGAGGGAGUAGUUAACAAUUUUAAUUUUGGCUAUAAUUAAAUAUAUAAGUUUUAAAUUAUAACAUUUUGAUGAGCCAAAUUUAAACGCAUCGGUGACACCGACGCGAACAGCUUCUGCUGUGUCCAUCAGUGUUCUUGCUUCUAGAGGUUGAGAUUCAGAGGCUGAGCUUUCGUUCGACAUAACAAGGCAACAUAAUAUAAUCUCGUCGGAUUACAAUUAAACUGAGCUAGCUAGAGCGUAGUGACCAAGAGUACAAAAAGGAUACCCAACUAAAUGAUGAAUUUUUUGCAUCACGUCGUGUCAGGACUCGAGUUUAAUUUUAUAAUUUCUUGCUUAAUUCUGAACUUGUCUUACUGUCCAAACUCUGAAAAAGACUUUUUCUUCGAUUGCACACGGAACGAUCGAUCGAUAGAGUAAACAAAGGGUAAAACGGACGAAACAAUGACGACGACGGCAAAAGGCACAAUGCGUUACGUCGUUGUCGAGUGUCGACACAGUUCAGACUGUGAGCCAAGAGUUGAAUAAACAUGCGGCAGUGUAGCACUCUUCAAUUUUGAGACAGGCGGCUGUGCUAUGAUGUUGUUUUGGGCCCUUAUAUUGGUGCUGUUUACUAUCAUAAAUUCCUUCCUUAAUUGCAUAAUGAGCCGAUAUCACAAAUUCAUAAACUAAAUUAUCUCAAAAAAAUUCAUUAACUAAAUUAACCUUAAAAAAUAUUGUUACCAAACUCCAGUUUCCCCAUGUACUCGUAUGUUACCUUCUUGGACCUAGAGGCAUGACAGAAAUGACCUUAACUUUCAUAAAAGAACAAAUCAGUAAGCCCUCUUAUUCCAAAAAAAAAAUGGUGAACAAAUCAGACACAAAUUAAAUCAGAUGUGUGGCUGAAAAAAGAACAAGGAAAUAUAUAUAGCAAAUCAGAUAUCAUAAGAAGAUAUUGCCCCUCACAAUCUCCACAGAAUCCUUCCAUCAGCUCACAAAUCUCCAAAAUUAAUUCCAAAACGGACACCGACGAUAAGAAAACUAAAUAAAUUAGCAGGCAAAUUAAUUAUAAACAUGUACAAAGCCCCAAAUUAACAGAAAGGAAAAUAACAAAAACCAGCUGAAAUUCCAAUGCAGCUUCCCUUCUUUACAUAUGGCAACCCUUCUCUCCCCUUCUUCCAUGCAUAUUAAUCCCCCAAAAAAAAUCAAGAAAAAAUAAUUAGCACGUCAAUUAAUCGCCAAAUUCGCCGCCGGGGGACAUGGCCGCCAGGAGGAAGCCCGCGCUGAUCUGCUGCGGCGCGGCGCUCGCCGCCGCCGUCGUCCUCGCCGCCGUCUUCACCGCGCUCUACUUCACCGUGCUCCGGCCGCGGCCGCCGCGGGUGACGGCGACGGUCGUCGGCACGCGCGUCUCCGCCUUCGCCCUCAUCCCGUCGCCGGCGCUGAACCUGACCUUCGACGUGGCCGUGGCGGCGUACAACCCGAACCGCGCGGCGUUCGAGUAUGGCGAGGUGGUGACGGUGGUGCGGUACCACGGCGACGCGGUGGGGGAGGCGGUGGUGCCGCGCGGGGAGGUCGGGGCGCGGGCGUCGGCGGAGGUGAGGGCGGCGGUGGAGGUGGACGCCGUGGAGGUGUUCUCGUCGCCGUACUUCCCCCUGGAGGGGAUCGCCGGGGCGCUGCCGUUCGAGACGGCGACGACGGUGGCGGGGAAGGCGGUGGUGCUGGGCGUGCUCAAGAUCAGGGCGAGCUCCGUGGUGACGUGCGGCGUCACGGUGUUCCCGCUCAGGAAGGAGACCACGUCGCCCCAGUGCACCUCCACCGUCCACGUGGGCUGAUCGAUCGAUCGCGGCCGUCCGUACUUCGUGCGAUGGCCUUUGUUCAAUUGUACAAAAGUACGCAAGUUAAAUUAAGCCCCUCUUUAGGAAUUACAGUACACGCGCUUGUUUUUUUCAAGUAUACUGCUCUUGCUUUGAGCAAUUUCUUUUAAUGGAUAGUCAGAUUGGACUGCGUUAUAUUUGAUACUACUUCUGUUUCAGUCGCGCGCACGCAUAUAUAUAUAUAUAUAUAUAUAUAUAUAUAUAUAUAUAUAGAGUAAAUUUGUUUGGUGCUCCAUGGUGACCGGGCACCAUUGUUGAAAUUGAGUAUAUACCCAAUUCAAAUGAGUAUGAAACUUUUUCAAUUACUUAGGUAUUAACAUUAACUACUUUACUAACUAGUUUAAAGCAAGUUUGAACUGAAUUUGAACUUGUUUUUGUUAGAUUUUGAUUCUAGGUAUAUAGCAUCCAUACAUAUAAUUAGUUAGGUAUGUAAUCAUGGAUUGUGAAAUAAAGUUAAAUUUGAGUUGUUUUGUUGAUAAGUAUAGGUAUGAAUCAAAUUAUUAUAACUAGGUAUAUACUCACAAUUUGAAAAUUUUAAAAAAUUUGAGUGAUUUUGUGCAUUAGAUACCAUGGUGCCCGGGCACCAUGGUGCCCCAUAUGAGUGUCAUAUAUAUAUAUUCAUAUGGGACUCUAUGGCGUCCGAGCUCCAAGGUAUAAAACACACAAAUUCUCUUAAAUUUUUAAAAAUUUACAAAUUGUAAGUAGAUAUCUAGGUAUAUGAAUUUGAUUCAUACAAAUAACUAACAAUAAAAUAACUCAAACUCAACUUUAUUUCACAAUUCAUUAUUACAUACCUAACGAAUUAUAUGUUUGGAUAUUAUAUACCUAGAACCAAAAUCUAACCAAAAAAAAGUUCAAACUUGUUAGUAAAGAAGUUAAUGUUUAUAUAUAGGCAAUGCUAAAAAAUAUUAUAAUAUAAAACGGAGAAAGUAGAAGGCUAGGAGGGAGUUUAAAUACAUAGCCAAAAGCUUAUAAUUAAUACAAUGUAUGAUCCUGACUACAAACAAAUUUGUACGUCAGCCCUCCCUGCUGCAAUAUUCUCUCGAUGCGUUCUGCGCUGCCUAGACCCUAAGCAUGCCCAACAGCUUACCAAUAAUUUAUCUCUAAAAUUUGAUUUUUAGGUUUUUUAAACUGAAAAUAGAAUGUGAUAGAACUCCUUCCUCCAAAAGAAGGCCUAAAUUCAAUUUCAAAAAACUAAAAGUGUGCCUUCUGUUAAACUAGCAACUAAAUUUUCCCGUUUUCCUCCCAUCAUCGUGCGAUCACGGAAUACCAUCGCGAUAUCCUCCUGGCGCCUUCGCCGCACCUUCCCCUCCUGGCGCACCUCCCGCCCCGACGUCGCCCCAGUCUCCCUGCCUCGACGCCGAUCUCCCUCCUCAACGCCAAUCUACUUAUAUGCAACAACAUUCCAGCUGCGUAUAUGCCAGGAGCAGCAGCAGCAGCACGAAUUCCUGCAUCAUAUCAGCAGCAGCAGCAGGAGCAUUCACCACCAGCAGCAGCAUCCAUCAUCACACAGCAGCAGCAGCAUUCACCACCACCAGCAGCAGCAACAGCAGCAUCCAUCACACAGCAGCAACAAGAGCUAUUUAGGCAGAAAUUUCAGCAGCAGCAGCAUUCACCAGUACAAGCAGCAACAGCAGCUAUUUAAGCAGCAAAAGUACGACCACCCUCAUUUAUCAAGUUUGUAAAAUACCCACUUCCAUCCAUUUUCCCUGUUCAUGCCAAAUAAAUGAUUGAAUGAAAGACAGGCUUGAAACCAUUAUAUUUGCUUGCAGCACAUAAACAACAAGCUUCUCUACACAACCAAGGCAGUGUACAGCAAUGAAAUUUAGUUCAUAUAUGUCUCAUUUCUUCAAAAUGGAUGCAAUGUAUCUAGAUUAACACUGGACAAAGUAAAUAACUGCUACAUAUAUAUAGGAGGAAUUAGCACUGAUAGGAGUGACCGCCCCGGUGGUGCGCUCCUCCGGCCGCGCCACGCCGCGCCGACUCGGCGACGUCGAACAGCAUCUAGGAGGCCUGGACGGGCGUGGCGGGGAUCUUGGGGGUGGGGAUGCGCUCCACGUCGCGGAGGAAGAGGCCGCCGCCGCCGCCGCCGUUGAGGACGAUGUCAUUGGCGCCGCUGCCGCCGAGGAAGAGGCCGCCGCCGCCAUGGAAGAGCCUGUUGCUGAUGGCGCUGUGUAAUGUCCCACCUCUUCUAGACCGGGCCCGCUUACAUCCGGUAGCUUUCAUAGGUCAUAAACUGCCCUCACAAACCAACACAAGUCUUUUUUGCACACUUUGUCCUCAUUCAUGCGUAAUCGGGAAGAAUUUCCCGAUCGGUCACCCGUCCCAAAAUUGCUCCAAGCUAAGCACGUUUUGUCCUCACUCAUGCGCAAUCGAGAAGAAUUUCCCAAUCGGUCACCCAUCCCGAAAUUUCUCCAAGCUAAGCACGCUUGGCCUCAGAGUUCUUUCGAUAUCGGCUUCCGAAAAAAGAAGUUGCAACUUGUUGAUAUGAGUAUUCUAUUAAUCCUAUUAACCCCUGGGCCGGGAUGUUACACCCUCACCCCGUUAAGAGAGAUCGACGCCCCCGUCGAUCAACCCCAGGCGUCCCCUCUUGGCCACGUCCGUGUGUCCAGUGCUAGCGCAUGUGCCAUACUGUGUGACCACUCCGGGUCCACACUAGCCAUGCGCACCAUACCUGCGCAACUGCGACACACGCGCCUGUGAAACCGCUUAGGUUGGCUCUGAUACCAUUUUGUAACGUCCCGCCUCUUCCAGGCCGGGGCCGGGCCCGCUUAGGUCAGCUCUGAUACCAUUUUGUAACGUCCUGCCUCUCCCAGGCCGGGGCCGGGCCCGCUUACAUCCGGUAUAGGUCAUAGACUUCUCUCACAAACCAACACAGGUCUUUUCUGCACACUUUGUCCUCACUCAUGCGCAAUCGGGAAGAAUUUCCCGAUCGGUCAUCCAUCCCGAAAUUGCUCUAAGCUAAGCACGCUUAACCUCAGAGUUCUUUCGAGAUCGGCUUCCGAAAAAAGAAGUUGCAACUUGUUGAUAUGAGUAUUCUAUUAAUUCUAUUAAGCCCUGGGCCGGAAUGUUACACGCUGCCACGGAGGAACAAGGUCGCGAGGAGGAGGAAGAGGGCGAGAACAUUUUCGCCGUGCGCGCGCGAGAUGGAGAGAUGAGCGCGAUUGGGAAUAAAAUUCGCUCCCCAGAAGUGAGGUACGAUAUAUCCAGAGUUGAGAACCAGAUCUAUUGGGAGAUAGGAUAGGAAUUCGGUUGGAGACGAUUUUUAACCAAAAUUUCCUAAAUCUGAGGAUAGGGAAUCAAGAAAGGAAGCUGUUGGGCAUGCUCCUACCACCACAUUCCUCAUGGAUAAGGUUGAUAAUUUGAUGGGACGUCGCCUCUUAAAAAUGUAAGAAGAUGUCGUAUUGUCGUCUCUUUGAAAUGGAAGAAGCUUACAUGUGGAUUUUUUUUUUCAACAAUGAAAUUUAUAUCUCCGCUUUGCUGAAAUUAAUUGAAUUAUAUAAGUUAUGUGAAAUUCCUGUGUAAAAGGUUUGUGUGAACGAGUAUAAAGUAUAUGACGUAUUUUGAUUUUUGAAGGAUUCCGCUUGCUUGUUUUUAUCCUUUUUGCGAGAACCGUCUGAAAAAA